UGUAACUUAAGUGACAUGUCUUAGAGAAGGUUUAAAACACUUGUCAAAUGUAAGAGUAAAAGUUUUCUACUCUUGUACAUUUGAAAUUGGUAAGUUGUGAUGUUUUGGAUAAAACAAAGACCAACUAAGGCCAAUUGUGUGAAGUGUUUGUCUUGAUUAGAAUCCACACUAUCUCUUGAAUAUCUGACAAGAAAGUCUUAUAUGUCAAGAGGAAAGUGGGAGUCUUAAAGGUCUUGAAAGUCUCAAGAACUAAUCAAGAAUAAAACCUGAAGUUCUUCACUAGCACACGACUUGAGGUUUAUAACCUAUCGUGUUGACAUACUCUGUGUCCAUUCCAAUUAAAGGUGGCUUUGCAUAUGAGUUCUUAGAGUUCUCAAUUGGUUGCACAACAACUUGGAAGAAAUGGCAGGCCCUUGAGCUGCCAGAAAGCAAGAAAUUAAGAUUGAGUUCAGUCCAUAUGAGUUUGGAUUUGUCAUUAUCCUUGUCUUGUGACUAUGGUGUUGAUAAUUCACAUGGAUAAGAACACAUACACCAUUAAAUCUAAGUGUCAUAAGGUUUCUCUCCGAUUCAUGAAAAUGAUGGUGAGGAAACACUUUCACUAAGUAGAUUUUAGCUAGAUAGCAAUUGUGAUAUUUGCAUUCUCAAAGUCGUUAGUGGAGCGUGUGUGGUUUACCGGCACACUAACCUGGACUUGUGAGAAGUGGCAAAAAGGUCUAACCAUUAUGAUUACGGCAUNNNNNNNNNNNNNNNNNNNNNNNNNNNNNNNNNNNNNNNNNNNNNNNNNNNNNNNNNNNNNNNNNNNNNNNNNNNNNNNNNNNNNNNNNNNNNNNNNNNNNNNNNNNNNNNNNNNNNNNNNNNNNNNNNNNNNNNNNNNNNNNNNNNNNNNNNNNNNNNNNNNNNNNNNNNNNNNNNNNNNNNNNNNNNNNNNNNNNNNNNNNNNNNNNNNNNNNNNNNNNNNNNNNNNNNNNNNNNNNNNNNNNNNNNNNNNNNNNNNNNNNNNNNNNNNNNNNNNNNNNNNNNNNNNNNNNNNNNNNNNNNNNNNNNNNNNNNNNNNNNNNNNNNNNNNNNNNNNNNNNNNNNNNNNNNNNNNNNNNNNNNNNNNNNNNNNNNNNNNNNNNNNNNNNNNNNNNNNNNNNNNNNNNNNNNNNNNNNNNNNNNNNNNNNNNNNNNNNNNNNNNNNNNNNNNNNNNNNNNNNNNNNNNNNNNNNNNNNNNNNNNNNNNNNNNNNNNNNNNNNNNNNNNNNNNNNNNNNNNNNNNNNNNNNNNNNNNNNNNNNNNNNNNNNNNNNNNNNNNNNNNNNNNNNNNNNNNNNNNNNNNNNNNNNNNNNNNNNNNNNNNNNNNNNNNNNNNNNNNNNNNNNNNNNNNNNNNNNNNNNNNNNNNNNNNNNNNNNNNNNNNNNNNNNNNNNNNNNNNNNNNNNNNNNNNNNNNNNNNNNNNNNNNNNNNNNNNNNNNNNNNNNNNNNNNNNNNNNNNNNNNNNNNNNNNNNNNNNNNNNNNNNNNNNNNNNNNNNNNNNNNNNNNNNNNNNNNNNNNNNNNNNNNNNNNNNNNNNNNNNNNNNNNNNNNNNNNNNNNNNNNNNNNNNNNNNNNNNNNNNNNNNNNNNNNNNNNNNNNNNNNNNNNNNNNNNNNNNNNNNNNNNNNNNNNNNNNNNNNNNNNNNNNNNNNNNNNNNNNNNNNNNNNNNNNNNNNNNNNNNNNNNNNNNNNNNNNNNNNNNNNNNNNNNNNNNNNNNNNNNNNNNNNNNNNNNNNNNNNNNNNNNNNNNNNNNNNNNNNNNNNNNNNNNNNNNNNNNNNNNNNNNNNNNNNNNNNNNNNNNNNNNNNNNNNNNNNNNNNNNNNNNNNNNNNNNNNNNNNNNNNNNNNNNNNNNNNNNNNNNNNNNNNNNNNNNNNNNNNNNNNNNNNNNNNNNNNNNNNNNNNNNNNNNNNNNNNNNNNNNNNNNNNNNNNNNNNNNNNNNNNNNNNNNNNNNNNNNNNNNNNNNNNNNNNNNNNNNNNNNNNNNNNNNNNNNNNNNNNNNNNNNNNNNNNNNNNNNNNNNNNNNNNNNNNNNNNNNNNNNNNNNNNNNNNNNNNNNNNNNNNNNNNNNNNNNNNNNNNNNNNNNNNNNNNNNNNNNNNNNNNNNNNNNNNNNNNNNNNNNNNNNNNNNNNNNNNNNNNNNNNNNNNNNNNNNNNNNNNNNNNNNNNNNNNNNNNNNNNNNNNNNNNNNNNNNNNNNNNNNNNNNNNNNNNNNNNNNNNNNNNNNNNNNNNNNNNNNNNNNNNNNNNNNNNNNNNNNNNNNNNNNNNNNNNNNNNNNNNNNNNNNNNNNNNNNNNNNNNNNNNNNNNNNNNNNNNNNNNNNNNNNNNNNNNNNNNNNNNNNNNNNNNNNNNNNNNNNNNNNNNNNNNNNNNNNNNNNNNNNNNNNNNNNNNNNNNNNNNNNNNNNNNNNNNNNNNNNNNNNNNNNNNNNNNNNNNNNNNNNNNNNNNNNNNNNNNNNNNNNNNNNNNNNNNNNNNNNNNNNNNNNNNNNNNNNNNNNNNNNNNNNNNNNNNNNNNNNNNNNNNNNNNNNNNNNNNNNNNNNNNNNNNNNNNNNNNNNNNNNNNNNNNNNNNNNNNNNNNNNNNNNNNNNNNNNNNNNNNNNNNNNNNNNNNNNNNNNNNNNNNCCCCCCUGAAAGCAUUGAAAAACAUUGAAAAAGGGUAGGGGUAUGAACUCACUAGUCGCGGAACGUGUCGUCUAGGAUGCUAAGUGUCGGAUCGGGGCUUGACAACUCGUGAGGUUCCUAUGUAUUAUGAAAUGAUAUAUAAUUGUAUCUAAUUAGAUUUUGAAUCACUAAUUAGAUAAGAUUAUACACUCCAAGACGCGAAAACACUUCAAAUUAAGUGUUUGGAGUGACCCGGGUGACAUCUAAGGGUGUAUAAGGUUUGGAUAUGGAGUUUACUCCUCAAGAGUAAACUCAUAAGAGGGUUUACGGUCCUAAUGAACCUUUCCCCAUGAGUUUACGGCCGUAAACUCAUGGUGGGGUGUUCUAUGAUGCUAAAUGGCCUUAUAUCACUUGGGAAGAUUAGCUAGGAUCAAAUCUAGGGCAUUGGAAUGGAUUAAUCUCACAAUUGGACCAUUUAAUGGAGUUUAUGGCAGUAAAAUAGGAGUUUACGGCCGUAAAAUCCCCCAAACUUAACCCAUUGAUGUUUUGAUGGUUCUAGGUCAUUACAAUGCUCAUAGGAAGGUUCUAGGGUUGAUUCCAUGGCUUAGGAAGUGUUUGGGACUUGCAUUGACCUUGGAAAAGUAGUUUACGGUCUAUGAAGAUGCUCUUGGGAGUUUACUACCUUAAACACACGAGUUUACAACCAUAAACUCAUGGUUGUCCAAGAUUCAAGGGUUUUGGUGGUUGGAAGACAAGGAUACUAAGUUCUAGACCCAUUUCUAAGCCAUACAAGGUGUUAAGGGCACUUUAACACCCAUUGGAUGAGUUUAAGGUCUGAGGAGAUGAUUUUACGGUCUAAGAAUGUUCUUGGACCAUAAAAUCAAGCUUGUUCCAUUUGUGUAAGUUUUGGUGCAUUACUUGAAGGGUUAUAAGGUUCUAUACUCUCAUGGAAGCUUGUUGGAGGUGUUUAGGGGCAAACUAACACCUUAAAUUGAGUUUACUCCCCAAGAAUGGGUGUUUACGGUCCAAGCAUGUGCUUGGGCCGUAAAAUCAUGCUUAUGUCUCAAAUGAUAAGUUCAAGGUGUUCUAAGUCCAUGCAAAAGAGUCCUUAACUCAUAUCUAGGCUCCAAAUGAGGUUUGGAAGGGUUUUAAGGCUCAAAACCCCUCAUUACAUGUGUUCACGGCCUAAGGAGGUUCUAGGACCGUAAACAAAUGUUCAUGGUUCUAUUUUUCAUACAAAUCACGAACUUGAAGGAUAAAGGUGUUAUACUAGGAGUUAUGAUAGUUGCCUUGAUGAUUUGGAGCUUGUUUUGGAUGAUUUUGGCUUGAUUUCGAGUUUUAGAGAGAGAAAGUAGAGAGAGAGAGUAGAGACAGAGAGAGUGGAAAGGCUUCAAAUGAGGCUCUCUCUCAACUUUCUAUAUGCUCAAAGUUUGGGACAUGGUGGAAUUUUACCCGAUACCGACGCUAGACGAGGCUUUUGGUCGCACCCGAUUAAUUUACCGUAAUUAUAACUUAGAUGAAACUAAAUAUUUUCUAAAUGAAAAUAGAAUAUAUUUUAAUGAAUUAAAAUGUAUCCCGACACUUAUGAAAUUUAAUUAGAAGUCGCAAUUAAAUUAAUUUAAAGCAAAACUAACGGAAAAAUUGGGACGUAACGGCUUUAUUGACGGAACUGGGUUAAAGUGACGGGAUAAAUUACGGGUUGUCACAUUAUCUCCCCGUUAGAAGGAAUUUCGUCCUAAAAUUCAAACUUUAAAUGCGACUCGCGGAUUUGGAAAGAGAAUACGUAUACUUCUGUUCUAUUGGAUCAUUAUGCUUCCAAGUGAAUUCGGAUUCUCGCAUGGCAUUUCGCGGAAUCAUUCACUUAUUCGGAAUACGGCUUGUUUCAUACGUUUAACCUUUUGAUCUAUGAUUUCGAUUGGUCCUACCAUGAAGCUCAGACUUUCGUUGAUUUCGGUCUCAUCAAAGGGAUUACUAUGUUUUCAUCGGGUAUGCACUUCUUAAGGACAGAGACGUGAAAUACUGGAUGGAUGCUGCUAAGUUCUGAGGGUAGCCGAAGUUUGUUGGCUACAGGAUCGAUCCUAAUGAGGAUUUCGAAAAGUAUAAUGUACUACUACAUGACCAAGGAAAAUGGCUCGACCGAUGGGCAUCACUACGAACUUAUAGUGAUCAUAUCGAGUCUGGCAUACUGUCUACGGAACAUCACUCUCAUGGAUUUGUAGCUGAUGGUACCUUGACCUAAAGUUUAUCUUUGAGAAGUGGCUGGUUCUCUGAAGUGGAUCGAAAAGGUCAUCUAUUCGAGGAAGGAGGAUAUCAGUUUGGACGGUCAACUCAUCAAGCUGACUGGAUAACUCCUGAAUUUCUGUUGUAGUUAAGCGAUAUAGAGAUUUGGUUACUGAGGUAGUUCCAGGAAUUAGGUCGAUGCGAAAUUCAACUUGAUGUUCGGAAAGAAUUCUCGAAAGCUAUAUAGGAAAUACAUCAGGAAAGUCACAGACUUCAGGGACGUUCUCGAGGUUUCUAACUUUCUUUUUAUUGCGGAUUACAUAGGCUAGGAAUGCAUGACACUCCUUUCGGUGAAAACUCUUGAGUUUUGAUGCACGAACUGAUACGAAGGUUGGAACCGAAUUUAUUGCCGUAGAUCAUGAGGGUCUGAUCAGAGAAAAGAUUGGAACGGAUGGAUUUUUCAAUGUUAGGGUAUCAGUAUGAUUGGGACUUAACCAGUCCAAGCCACAGAUAACAUCAAAACUAUUUAUGGAAACUGACAUAAGAUCAAUGGACGAAGGAUGGUCGUUCAGAGUAAGGGUACAACCUAUGGAUGUAUCGAUAAAGUUUUCUUUUAUCACUAGGAUUGAAAAGGAUUGUAGGCGUAAGAGUUGUUAAGGAGGAAAAUACAUGGGGCGACGGUGGGAUCAGUGGCUGUCUCCUCUCGUCCUAUUGCUAGAACUCUUCCGGUGUUGCCAGUCAUUGCUGCCUUUGGGCAGUUUCGCUUAAGAUGCCCGACUUCUCCGCAACCAUAGCAGGCCUGACCAAUGCCCGCUCCGGAAGCUUGGUUGGUUGAUUGAGUUGGUGUCUUGCAGUUUUUCGCAGUGUGACCCUUUUUGCCACAACUGUUGCAAAACACCUCUAUACAUGGACUGGAAGUGAGGUGAUGAUAUUUGCACUUGUCACAACUAGGGAGGUUUCCAGCAUACCUACUGGUAGGUUUUCGAGCUGAGGAUCCAACAACAAAAACAGUUGCGGGGGUAGUAGCAGCGUGAACUGCCACAGUUUGCUGCCUCUUCGAAGACUCCUGCGAUGUCUGACUUUUCUUCUUCCCAAUUUUUCUUUUCUCGCCACUCCUCUCUGUCGGCUCAGGAGUGGUAGUUGUUUCCUCAAGGUCAUCACUAUGGUCGAUUAAGGUCCGUGCUAAGCAUUUGGCGCUGUCGUAUGUAUCCGGCCUCGUAGCUAAGACGUUUCCUUUUGUUGGCUGGGUCAGCCCCCAGAUGAAUCUCUCUAUCUUCUUACUCUCCGGGGUAACCAUUCCCGGGCAGAGUAGCGCCAAGUCAUCGAACCAAGAAGUGUAAGCGACAAUAUCGGAACCCUUCAUCUUCAGGUUCCAGAGUUCGUGCUCUAAUUUCUGCAUUUCGCCUCGAGGGCAGUACUCAGCCAACAGAAUUUCCUUCAUGGCUUCCCAACCCAUGGCGUUGGCUACAGGUAAAGUUAGGGAUUUGACUCGGCCAUUCCACCAAGUCAGGGCUUUGUCGAUGAAGGUGCAGGCGGCGAACUUCACCUUAUCAGAUUCUGAACAGGCACAAAUUUCAAAGAUAGAUUCGAUUUUCUCGAACCAUCGGGUGAGGGAAAUGACACCUCCAGUGCCAUCAAAGGACGUGGGUUUUGCGUUCAUGAAAUCUUUAUAAGAACCCUCUUUUUGGGUUCCCUGACUGCCUUCUUGGUUUUGGGGUUGGGGACCACCUUCUGAACCACCGAGGUUCCUUUGAGACAUGGCAGCUGCCACCGCGGCAUCAACAACUGGCUGGAACAUUACAGGAUCAAAUUGGGGAGGAGGUGGUGGCGGAGGAGGAUUGUUGUUGUUCUUUGAGUUGGGUCUCUUUCUUGGAGGCAUCUUGAUCUAAAAAGAUCAGGAAAGAGAGGAUCAUAAGUCCUCUGAAUUGAAUCAAGAGAUAUGGAACAUGGGAUAUCUCAUUAAAACAGAUAUACGGUAUUCUAUUAAGCGAUAAAGCAGGAAAGAGUUAUCAAAGCAGAUAAACUAUCGCUAAAGGAAUGAUUGAGGAACAACACUGAAAUGAGAAUUUCUAUAAUGGAUUUGGCUUAAGAAAUACUCCCAUAGUAUUUCAUGAUUCGCUGCAGUGACGGCUCGUAGUUUGGGUAUUUGGGUAAGUUUUAGGCAUGCUGCAUACCACAUUCACUCCCAAGCACAUGUUGGCCAUGUCUCGAAUGAAUAUAGUUGGCCAGGCUAUAUUGAUCCUAGACACGACUACACUGCCCGGGUUUAACCACAGUGUACAACACCCAUUUAAUUAUGUUAUUUUCUACUUGUAGUUACGGAUUUUGACGGUUAGGUAUACUUGUANNNNNNNNNNNNNNNNNNNNNNNNNNNNNNNNNNNNNNNNNNNNNNNNNNNNNNNNNNNNNNNNNNNNNNNNNNNNNNNNNNNNNNNNNNNNNNNNNNNNUAAAGGAAUGAUUGAGGAACAACACUGAAAUGAGAAUUUCUAUAAUGGAUUUGGCUUAAGAAAUACUCNACAUACUCUGUGUCCAUUCCAAUUAAAGGUGGCUUUGCAUAUGAGUUCUUAGAGUUCUCAAUUGGUUGCACAACAACUUGGAAGAAAUGGCAGGCCCUUGAGCUGCCAGAAAGCAAGAAAUUAAGAUUGAGUUCAGUCCAUAUGAGUUUGGAUUUGUCAUUAUCCUUGUCUUGUGACUAUGGUGUUGAUAAUUCACAUGGAUAAGAACACAUACACCAUUAAAUCUAAGUGUCAUAAGGUUUCUCUCCGAUUCAUGAAAAUGAUGGUGAGGAAAAACUUUCACUAAGUAGAUUUUAGGUAGGUAGCAAGUGUGAUAUUUGCAUUCUCAAAGUCGUUAGUGGAGCAUAUGUGGUUAACCAGCACACUAACAUGGACUUAUGAGAAGUGGAAAAGGUCUAAACAAUCGAGACUAUGAUUAUGACAUCCCUUUUCAUAGUUCUUAAAUUAUUUAGACACACCUGUGAGCUAUUGUAACGCCCGGGUUUUAGGGCUAAUCAUUUUUGACAAUGUAAUAGUCUAGGUCAACUAUUGUAACUCUUUUUGAAGUAAUAAAGAUGAAAUAUUUGAGUAUUAUGUGAAUUAUGUGUAUUUAUGUGCUUAUUAUUUAAUUAUAAAUGUAUAAUUAAUAAAGAAUAAAAAUAAGUGUCAAAAUUAAAGUGUGAGAUAAGCCCGAUAUCUUUAUAUAAAGUUGUAGUGGUCGAAACAAGGAUUCCGGGGAUAUAAAGAACGCCGAAAUCCGAGUUAUAACGAAGAACUGUCGAAGUUUCGCGAUAGAACCGACACGAUACCGGAUAGCGAAAAUAGUGAAUUUACGAUAGUCACACCCCGAAACCAAAGGCGGAAACAUUCCGGUGCGGAGGACAUCAUGUAUAUCGCAACCAAUGUACAUAGUAAGCAUAGUAAACACAAAACAAUACAUUANACAAAACUUUACAUUACAUAGAUUCAUUUACAUUGUUUGAAAACAAGAGUUACAUAUGUUAUGCAUAUACAUAUCUUAUAAACAAAGUAAAGACGUGUAUUCUACAUACUUCGCCUUCGCCAAAAGGAUCGUUGGGUACCUGUCUAAUGUGGACCUGAGAAUACAAGCAGUUUGAAAAUCAGCAUAAAGCUGGUGAGUUCAAAAGAUGUUUGUUUUUAUGAAAAAUGUACAUGUUUCCUUUCGUUUUCUGAAAAAGUUAUGUAUCCAAGAAAAUCCCAUAUUUUCUUAUAUGUAAAGUUUAGUCAUUUGUUUUGUUACACGAUUCUGGUUAUGAACAACUGUUAUCCCAGGAAAAUCCCAUAUUUUCCUAAAAGUAAAGUUUAGUUACCCGUUUGUUACCCAGUUUGAUUAAGAACAAGUUCAGUUAACCCAGGAAAAACCCUUAUUUUCCUAAAAUGUUUGUGAAUUGUUAUCGAAUCUGAAAGUAACGUACAAGUAUCUACCAUACUUAAAGUGUGUGUGAGAAGUUUCUCGAAAGUUUGGUUACCUUUAAAUGUACAUUAGUUUUUAACACGUAUAUAAAACUAAUAAUUAAGUGUAAAGCUUUCAUAAUCUUGAUUGCGAGUUCCUUAACCAUACUUCAGACUAGAUAUGACUCGGAUCGGGGCCAAUAUCUUGUUAUGACUUUUGUCACCCUUGAACCUUUCGGUUCGGUUGUAGCUAGCAGCCAGGUGCGGGAUAGUCAGUCUCGUAUAGAUCUAUACACUCAAGUCACGCUCUCCCUUCUGGAGAUUCUGGUUACAGGGAUAGUCCUCCACUCUCGUGUCAAGGGGAAGUGUUACAAAGGACGCGUCUCCAAUCUUAAGAUUACUCUUUACUCUCGUAUCUAAGGGGAGUACUAUCUAUGACUGACUAGGUUCUAAUGAUACUUGUCCUUCACACUCGUAUCUAGGGGUGUUUUAUUAAGGAAAAUACAAAUGUUCUAUGAUUUCUAUCGGUAAAUGUGUGAACCAUCCUUUAUGAAGUAUAAAGUAUAACACUAUAUAAUAAGAAUUGAAAUCGGUUUGAAAAACAACUCUGCAAGUCAAACAGUUUGUUAAUAAGUUUUCAAUUCUUAAAAGUGUACUGAUUAUGAAACCAUUCAAAUGAAAUAAUGAAUUUAAGUACAAGAUAUUCUUGUACUUAUGCUUGUAUCCCCCCUGAAAGCAUUGAAAAACAUUGAAAAAGGGUAGGGGUAUGAACUCACUAGUCGCGGAACGUGUCGUCUAGGAUGCUAAGUGUCGGAUCGGGGCUUGACAACUCGUGAGGUUCCUAUGUAUUAUGAAAUGAUAUAUAAUUGUAUCUAAUUAGAUUUUGAAUCACUAAUUAGAUAAGAUUAUACACUCCAAGACGCGAAAACACUUCAAAUUAAGUGUUUGGAGUGACCCGGGUGACAUCUAAGGGUGUAUAAGGUUUGGAUAUGGAGUUUACUCCUCAAGAGUAAACUCAUAAGAGGGUUUACGGUCCUAAUGAACCUUUCCCCAUGAGUUUACGGCCGUAAACUCAUGGUGGGGUGUUCUAUGAUGCUAAAUGGCCUUAUAUCACUUGGGAAGAUUAGCUAGGAUCAAAUCUAGGGCAUUGGAAUGGAUUAAUCUCACAAUUGGACCAUUUAAUGGAGUUUAUGGCAGUAAAAUAGGAGUUUACGGCCGUAAAAUCCCCCAAACUUAACCCAUUGAUGUUUUGAUGGUUCUAGGUCAUUACAAUGCUCAUAGGAAGGUUCUAGGGUUGAUUCCAUGGCUUAGGAAGUGUUUGGGACUUGCAUUGACCUUGGAAAAGUAGUUUACGGUCUAUGAAGAUGCUCUUGGGAGUUUACUACCUUAAACACACGAGUUUACAACCAUAAACUCAUGGUUGUCCAAGAUUCAAGGGUUUUGGUGGUUGGAAGACAAGGAUACUAAGUUCUAGACCCAUUUCUAAGCCAUACAAGGUGUUAAGGGCACUUUAACACCCAUUGGAUGAGUUUAAGGUCUGAGGAGAUGAUUUUACGAUCUAAGAAUGUUCUUGGACCGUAAACUCAAGCUUGUUCCAUUUGUGUAAGUUUUGGUGCAUUACUUGAAGGGUUAUAAGGUUCUAUACUCUCAUGGAAGCUUGUUGGAGGUGUUUAGGGGCAAACUAACACCUUAAAUUGAGUUUACUCCCCAAGAAUGGGUGUUUACGGUCCAAGCAUGUGCUUGGGCCAUAAACUCAUGCUUAUGACCCAAAUGAUAAGUUCAAGGUGUUCUAAGUCCAUGCAAAAGAGUCCUUAAGUCAUAUCUAGGCUCCAAAUGAGGUUUGGAAGGGUUUUAAGGCUCAAAACCCCUCAUUACAUGUGUUCACGGCCUAAGGAGGUUCUAGGACCGUAAACACAUGUUCAUGGUUCUAUUCUUCAUACAAAUCACGAAUUUGAAGGCUAAAGGUGUUAUACUAGGAGUUAGGGUAGUUGCCUUGAUGGUUUGGAGCUUGUUUUGGAUGUUUUUGGCUUGAUUUCGAGUUUUAGAGAGAGAAAGUAGAGAGAGUAGAGAGAGAGUGGAAAGGCUUCAAAUGAGGCUCUAUCUCAACUUUAUAUAUGCUCAAAGUUUGGGACACGGUGGAAUUUUACCCGAUACCGACGCUAGACGAGGCUGUUGGUCGCACCCGAUUAAUUUACCGUAAUUGUAACUUAGAUGAAACUAAAUAUUUUCUAAAUGAAAAUAGAAAAUAUUUUAAUGAAUUAAAAUGUAUCCGGACACUUAUGAAAUUUAAUUAGAAGUCGCAAUUAAAUUAAUUUAAAGUAAAACUAACGGAAAAAUUGGGACGUAACGGCUUUAAUGACGGAACCGGGUUAAAGUGACGGGAUAAAUUACGGGUUGUCACAACGAUAGAGCGAGAUUUAGCCUUAGCGAUCUAAACUAAAGUCCUAGAAUACGUUAAAACAAGAGCUUCCAUAAAAAGAAUGCCCAAACCUGACUUCGUAUGAGAAAGUUGUGAUUUUUCGAAGUUUCGGAUUAGCAGUGUACAACCCGAAAUUUGAAUAUUAGAUCGAGCGGUUUUUAGCCGAAACGACCUGAACGAGAAUCGAAGAUCUCGUUAAGAGUAGCGUAACAAGAAAAAGAUGGGUGAAAAUGGACAUCGAUGAAGAAGUUAUGAGAAUUUAACGGACCAAUCCUGUCCCAGCUUGUUAAUAAUAUAACUUUUAAAAUAGAGUCAAAAUUAGCCGACGGAGUCUAAACGAAAGUUGUAAAGUACGUUCCCAUUUCGCGUGGAUAUACAGAACGUCGAAAACAGAGCUCGUAUGUGAAAGUUAUGAUUUUUAGUAGUCGGAGUAUGAAUUUGCGAAAUCUAUUGCGAGGUGGUGACGUGGCUCAAUCAGGGCCGUCACUUGUUGAACACGGAGUCGCUUCGGAUGAUGACACGUCGCCCUCGCUUACGCCCCGCGUCCGAAGUCAGUACGCCCUGCGUACCCUUGCCCUUAUCUGUCCGAGACCGAGUGCGAGCCAGUUGGAUCCACCUGUAACCUUAUCCGAACUACGCCCCACGUAGUGUUGCUGUACGCCCAACGUAUGAUCGAGGGCUCGCACCUAUAAAUAGGCUGUGAGGGCUGCCGAAGAAAAACACACAAAACUCAUUCUCUCUCUAGUUUCUUUCUCUCUCUAGGGAUCCUAACCUCCCCUAAACCCUAGAUAAACCCCCUAGCUCCCAAAGGAAACCCUGAGGCUCCCAGAGUCCCGAGAAAAAGAGUCUUUCGGUUUCGAAACGCUGCUCCAAAUAAAGCCCGGUUUUCUUUAAAAUCCGCUGUAAGUGAGCUACGCUUACGCAAUUUUUAAUAUAGCUUUCAAAUAAUUAUAGUAAUGUUAUUAGGUCUUUAAAAUAAUUAUUUGGGCUAUUAUUAUGAGUUAUAUUAAGUUUUAUUUAACGCUUAUAUAAUAAUAAUAAUAAUAAUAAUAAUAAUAAUAAUAAUAAUAAUAAUAAUAAUAAUAAUAGCUAGACUAUUAAUUAGUCUCGGCGAAUAAUAGACUAAACUCUAGUGGUAAUAAUACUAGGUUUCGUCGAAGGAAAUUAUUUUUAAGAAGCGAAGCGCUGUCUGAGUUCGGAUUCAUCACCUUUUCAAGUGAGUGCAUAGUUACUUUCAGCUUACACAUAGAUAUGAAGUAUUUUAUAUAAAUUACGUGCUAUGUGUGCAUAUUAUCUGAAUACUUGCUAUCUAUGCUGGAUGAACGUUUUAUACAUGUUUUCAAUGAUUUAAACUGUAUAUGUAUUUUAUAUCUACAAAAUGUGUUGGGUAAAACAUGGGUAGAUGUAAUAGUUGUUGUGUGAUAAAAUAAAAUAAUGAGAGGCCUCGUUAUAGAUGUUAUUGAUGAUCCAGUCAUCUAGCGGAGUAUAGAUGACGACCACGGACUAUUCUAGACAGUCCAGUGGAACACUAGCAGGCUCGCAACCUGUAGGUGUUUAUUUGAACUGUGUGCUCACCAGGUGUACUCCAUCCCCCACAUGGUUGCCUUAAGGACAUUUAUUGCUGAGGAAUCCCCUUAGCAGUAGUGUCCAUCCCGAUGAUAGUCCUUAGACUAGGUCCCUUGUGUUAGAUGUCUUAGGGACGUAAAGUGAGGAUAAUGGGAAUGGGUAAUCAGGUUUGUUUGGUUUGAUAAAGUUAAUAAACUUAUUUAUUGUGGGUUGAAAACCCUAUGUGCUCACCAGGCUCCCAAGGCUGACCCACUCAGUUUCUUGUAUCACAGGUAGUGGCGCAUGAGCAUAGAUGUGAUGUCUUGGGAUGAGAGAUUAAUGGACUUUAGGCCUGUAAAUACGGAAUAAUGUAGUAAGACCUAUUUUGUAUUGUUUAUGCUUAUGAUCUGUAUCGAACAUGACAUCCCGAGUCUUUUUAAUGAAAUACAUUUCUAUGGAAAUGCUUUUGAUAAAUCUUUAUCAUAUAUUGUUUUGGGACAAAUUCCGCAACACUUUUAGUUAAAAUGUUACUCUCAUUUUUAAAAAGCAUAAACAAAAUCGGUCUUUUCUGGCCGUGAAAAUGGGGAUGUCACAACUAUCUAAGAUAAGGUGUAUGAUAUUGAUAAAGUUUUAUCAAAGCAAUCUAGUAUCAGAAAUCUGAACUUUGGUAAGAAAGUCAAUAAAGUAUUGUUUUUCUAGAAAUUUAGCUGAUUUCUGAGUACAUGUCAAAGAUAGUGGGAGCAUAAGUGUUAUGCUAAUAAUCAUCAUGUUAGUGGGAGCAUGAUAAUUAUAAUAAUAAUUAUUGCAAGUUAGCAAUCUUAAUUAUAGAAAACCAAAAGUUUCAAUUCGUGAAGUUGAAAGGGUUGAAAAGUUGUUUUGCUAUAAUUAAGGGAGAGGAAAUUAUACUUCAUUUCAAAUCUAAUAGCUUAGAUAGUGAGAUUUUAAUCAAGUUUAGUCAAGUAUAUAUAUGAAUGAUAUGCUGGAAUGGUUCAACAUAAGUAAGUUCUAUAUAUGGGUCCAUUAUUUGUGUUCUAAAAUUCGAUUAUGAUUACGGCAUCCCUUUUCAUAAUCUGAAUUAUGAGAACUUGGCAAAUCAUGUGCUAUAAUAUUUAUCAUUUCUAAAUUUUUCAAAAGGCUCAGAGCAUUAAGAGGGAAAAGUCUAGAAUUGGAUAUGACUAAAAUGAUUAAGUAAUUGUCGAGGACAAUCUAAGGUUUACCAAAGAUUGUGUGACAUCCCCAAUUUCACGGCCAGAAGAGACCGAUUUAUUUAUGCUUUGUUUUAAAAUCAGAGUUAUCUUUUAAAGAAAGCAGUUGCGGAAUUUGUCCCAAAAACAAAAUAUGAUAACCAUUUAUCAAAAUAUUUCUCAAAAAGAAGGUAUUUUUAUUAAAUAAUAAAACCUCGGGAUGUCAUGUUCCGAUACAAAUCAAAAGCAUAAACAAUAUAAACUAAACCUUACAACAGUCAUUUAUAACCACUGAUCUACAAUCCAAAAUCUCUUGUCAAGUCCACCAACUUAUACUCUUGUGCCAUUACCUGUAAUGUAAAGAAAACUGAGUGGGUCAGGCUUGGGAGCCUGGUGAGCAUAUAGGGUUUUCAACCCACAAUAAUACAUUUAUUAUAUUCAAUUAUCAAACAAUCAACCCAAAUACCCAUCCCUAUUAUCUUCUUUAUUUCUUAAGGUUUUACCCUAAGAAUCGAUUAUACUUUCUCCAUUCAUUCCUAAGGGUUUACCUAAGGAACUGGCACAAAGUCCAUUUGCUACCACGGUUUAUACAACAGGCACUACGUCGCAUAGUCACCAGGGUUCAUACAAUUGGCACUACGUCUCACAGUCACCAAGGUUUACACAAUAGGCACUACGUCUCAUAGUCACCUGGGUUUACACAAAAGGCAUGAAGUCACAUCGUCACCAAGGUUUAUCAAAUAGGCACGAAGUCGCAUUGUCACCAAAGCUUACUCAAUAGGCACGAAGUCGCAUCGUUACCAACUAUUCCAUAUACCCACAUUCUACCCAACAUUUUUGUAGAUAUAAAUACAAACAUAAUUUAAAUCAUUUAACACUUGUAUAAAAACAUCAAAUCCAAGUCCAUCUCAAAUAGAUAAUUAAUAUUUAACACAUAUCACAUAUUUCAUAGCUAAUACUUUAUAUUUAUGUGUUAGAUGAAAGUGACUAUACACUCACUUGAUUAGACGAUGCUCGGACAACACUACGGCUUGUAGAAGUAGUGUUUCUCCGUAGAUUUGGAAGAUCUUCACAAAAACCAGGCACCGCGCGGGUAGGGCUUCGGCUCGGAAAUCUCACUUCUCGGGGUCCUCGGGGCUUCGGAUCUUGCUUCGGGGCUCGGGAAUGAUACCGGGGCUUUGGGAUAUGAUUAGCACGCAAAAUCGAGGCAAAAACUAGAGAGAAGAAAGAGUUUGAACAAGAGAAAAUGGCUUAUCUCGGUUUCUAUUUAUAGGCUGCUGGGUCUGGGAUUACGCUGGGCGUAAUUUCAAUUUACGCGGGGCGUACUUCGACGUCACUGCAUGCGUCAAUUGGUGGCACUCGAGUAUUGGUCAGACAAGUUGCACCCCUCUGAGUACGUUGGGCGUACUCAAAUUACGCUCGGCGUAAUUUGACUCGUCAAACUUCUAAAUUGCGUAACUUUCGCAUAUGAGUUCCGUUUUCGACGUUCUUUAUAUCCACGCGAGGGUGAGAUUAUGCUCUACAACUUUCAUUUAGACUCCGUCGGCUAAUUUUGAAUUUUAUUUUUAUUAUUUAUUUUUAGAAGGCCGGGACAGAAAAACUUCGUUAUAAAUUCAUAACUUCUUCGUCUGACGUCCGUUCUCGCCUAACUUUUCAUCGUUUCGCUACUAACAACGAGAUCUUCGAUUAUUGUUUAGAUUGGUUCGGCUAAAAACCGCUCGAUCUCAAAUUGAGUAUUCGGGCUGCAUACUGCCAAGUCGAAACUUAGAAAAAUAAUAACUUCCUCAUACGGAGUCAGAUUUGGAUGUUCUUUUUAUGCACGCUCACGGUUUAAUGAACUAUACAACUUUCGUUUAGAUCACUAAGGCUAAAUAUCUCUCUAACAUAAAUUCACUUUUUACGUCAUUCAACGUCAUGUUGGUUCUGUCACGAAACUUCGACAGGUCAUAACUUCUUCGUUAUAACUCGGAUUUCGGCAUUCUUUAUAUUCAUGGGAACCUUCUGACAUAUACUACAACUUAAUUAAGAUUAUUUAUUAUAAAUAAUCUUCUAUCAAAAAGUCGUUUUUUUUAUGCUUAUCGUCUCUAAAUUGACUAGCCCUAAUCUACAGGCAUUAUAGAUUGGUUGCUCAAGGACAGUUGGAAGUAUAGUGUUAAUUCUGGAAGGACCAUAUUGACAUAAUCGGUAAGGAGGCAACUCUUGUUCAGAAGUGAUAGUCAAAAUGGAAUAUGGAAAAGUUUCAAAGUUAGAAAUUAUUCAAUCUGUGUAAGAUAGAAAAACUUAAUGCAAGAAGGAUGUCUCCAUGGAUUUGAUCUCCAUUGGAAUACUCUGUAAUGUUUGUUGACAAGUCUUUGUGACUUUCAGCAUAAUCAUUACAAGAGGACCAGUGCAUAUAAGUCUGAAAUCUAACAGACUUUGGUAAGUGGCAGGAAUUUGGAAUUCUUGCCUUUUCAGUAAGGAUUUGGGACUGUGAAAAAAGGAUCAUUGGAGUUAUGUUCAAUUGGUCUAUUUCGCAAAGUAAAGAUCAUAGACAAACAUAGUAUGCAUACUUGGUGUGUGGCAUGACUAGUGUUUAGAAAAACAUAGUGUACAUGCUUGCAACAUGGGCCAACUAUUGUUUUAAUUCAAGAAUAAAGUUGAUAGCUGAAACAAUAUACAAUGAAUAAUGUGUAAUCAUAUGGUGAUAAAUAAAAGGUGUUUUAUUUAUAUUCAUAAUUUCUGAGACCAUAUUGGAUUCGAUUAUUAUUUUGUUUCACUUUUCAUGUUUUGACUUCCAGAAUAACUAGGUCAUUGCUCUGAAUGACUAAGUUAUUCAAACCAUCCACAGUCGGUCAUAUGUUGGAAGUAGAUAUGAAUCAAGACUAUCAUGGGUUGGGCUUGUAGAGGUCUAAGAUGUUGACAAGGUGGUGCUACAACACUCAUGAAUGCUCAUAAGUUCUGAGUAUUGGAUUCAACCCGCGCUCAUUCGAAUCACUUCAUGGAUUUUAUCACGAGUGAUCAUGAGACGAUAAUAUCUUAUAUUCUUCAAACCUAGAGAUAUGAGUUGUUACUAUGAGUUGGUUAUACAUUGAUUACACGAAAACGCAUUGGUAACUCGAUGUUAUAAAAUGUGCCUUUGUGUAUGAUUCAACAAGUAGUAGAACAAGCCAUAUGAGUCGAAGUUUAUCCAUUCCUUUUACCUUCGGGAUAAAAGCGAUAUCUGUGGGCCCCUCGAUGAUUUGAUGAUGACAAAUGGAAGUGCUCGGCCGGGCCAGGACUGAUUUGAUUUGUUCAAUUAGUCAGUCGUCAUAAAUCGGAAAUCGGGAAACAACAAAUGGACAGAGAGAAUGAUUAUAAUCCAUGUCUCAGUCCAUAUGAUAUCUAGAAUGGAGGAAUAUAUGAUCCCUUAUCUAAUGGACAAGUCAUUGACAAAGGUUAGAGAUCAUCGGCAAGGUCAGAGUUCAACAGAAGCUUUUGAGAGCUACGAUUGCCAGUCGGUUCUUGAAGUCAUACUUGAAAUAACAGUUUUAGACUUAUCCAAGUGGGAUACUGUUGUAUUAAUGUCUAAGUCCAUAACUAUGAUUGGUAAGACUUGACCCGACCCGACAUGGUCCAUUUGGGUUGCAUGGCAUCAUGCAUUUGGAUAGACUAUAAUGAGAGAAAUAACACUUAAGGUUUGUUAAUAUAUUAUAAGUUCUAAUAGAAUAAUAAGAUUAUUUAAUUAGUAUUGAUCAAGAAUUAAUCUAGGAUUAAUUAAGUGAUCAAAAGAAGACUAAUUAAAUAUAUGGGUUGAUUGUGUAAAUCAUCCAUACUUGUAUAGUGGGCUAAGACUUCAUGGAUUAUCAAGAUGGGCUAAAACCCAUAGGAUGCUCCAUGGAUGCUCCAUGGUAUAUUUGAACCCAUGGAUCCAAGGAAAUGGAAAGCCAUGCCAAUUAGGGUUCACCCUAAAUGUCACUAACUAUAUAAGCAUCUUAUUGUUGACAAAAUCGGCACUAGAGAAUAUGUGAAAGGGCUAGUCGAUUUUCAUGAAGUGUGGAUUUCUCUCUAAUCUUUUCAAGUUUAUUUGGUGUUGUGUGAACCAUUUAAGGUGUCACACUUGGGGCACUAGGCACUCAAGAUUCAUGAAGACAUUCUACAUCAAAGAGGUAUGUUAUUCUAACUUGAGAUAUUCAUAUGAAUCAAUGUUAUUAUGCUAGUUAGGAUGAAUACCUUGGAAAGUUCAUAUUUGCAUGUAUAAUAGAGAAAACAUAGAUCCAAGGUAUUUAGGGUUGCAUGUACUCUUAGGAGUGUUAGAAUGCUCAAAACCCAACAAUAUUAUCCCUCCUAGAAGGAAUAGAAGAUUCCGUGGUAUACUGCGAUGCAUCCAGCCAAAGGCUUGGUUGUGUUCUCAUGCAACACGGAAAGGUCAUUGCAUAUGCCUUAAGAUAGCUUAAGAUGCACAAAGUCAACUAUACUACACAUGAUCUUGAGUUAAGAGCAGUGGUAUUUGCUCUAAAGAUCUGGAUACACUACCUGUAUGGUACGAAAAACACUAUCUGUAUAGACCACAAAAGCCUUCAACAUAAAUUCGACCAUAAGGAGCUCAACAUGAGACAACGGCGGUGGGUCGAGCUACUCAAUGACUACGAAUGCAAAGUUUGUUAUCAUCCUGGUAAGGCCAACGUAUUAGUCGACGCCCUAACUCAGAAAGAAUAAUCAGGUCGUAGAGUCAAGGCAUUGACUAUGACAAUCCAUUCACAUCUAUCCACGUAGAUUAAAGAGGCUCAGCAGGAAGCCUUAAAACCUGAAAAUGUGGCAGGUGAAUCCCUGAGAGGGAUGGAUAAGAACUUAGAAGUCAAGGGUGACAGAGCCUUAUACCUCAUGGAUCAGAUCUGGACACCGAAACUUGGUGGUUUCAGAGACGUUGUCAUGAACGAAGCGCACAAUAUUUGAUACUCCAUUCAUCCAGGUUUAGAUAAGAUGUAUUUGGAUCUCAAAAAGUUAUAUUGGUGGCCUAACAUGAAAGCAAAUAUUGCUACGUUCGUUCGCAAGUGUCUUACUUGCGCCAAGGUUAAGGUCGAAUACCAAAACCCCUCAGGUUUACUACAACAACUGGAGAUACCUGAGUGUAAGUGGGAGCAGAUUACAAUGGACUUCAUAACCAAAUUGCCCAUGACAACGGGUCAUCUCGAUACCAUUAGUUGAUCAUAGACAGGUUAACUAAAUCCGCACACUUCUUGCGAAUCAAAGAAACCUAAAAGAUGGAGAAACUGACAAGAACAUACAUUAGGGAGAUUGUACGACUGCAUGGUGUUCCCAUAUCUAUCAUCUCUGAUAGAGAUAGUAGAUUCACUUCAAGAUUCUGUAGUCACUACAAAAGUCUGUGGGAACUAGGAAGGACAGAGUGAGAGGACUAUACAAACGCUGGAAGACAUGAUGCGAGCUUGUGUGAUCGACUUUGGUAAAGCAUGGGAUAUCCAUUUUCCAUUGGUCGAGUUUUCAUACAAUAACAACCACCAUACUAGUAUCAAGGUUGCUCCAUUUGAAGCUCUUUAUGGCCGAAAGUGCAGAUCCCCUCUGUGAUGGGCUGAGGUGGGUGACAUGCAACUAGCUAAAGGACAAGUUCCUAACAGCACUCUCACGGGUCCGGAAGUCAUUCGGGAAAUGACAGAUAAGAUUGUUCAGAUUCGUGAACGAUUGAUAGCCUCUAGAGACUGACAGAAAAGCUACGCUGACAAGAGAUGGAAACCUUUGGAAUUUCAGGUUGGUGACCUUGUUCUAUUGAAGGUCUCACCCUGGAAGGGCUUGAUAUGCUUCGGAAAUCGUGGUAAGCUAAAUCCAAGGUAUAUAGGGCCUUUUGAGAUUCUCGCUAGGAACGGCCCUGUAGCUUACAAACUCAAACUACCUCAAGAACUUCGUAACGUACACCCUACCUUCCACGUUUCAAACCUAAAGAAGUGCCUUUCUGAAGAGACUCUUGUUAUCCCACUCGAUGAAAUCGAUAUCAAUGAGAGCCUCAACUUCAUGGAAGAACCUGUAGAAAUCAUGGAUAGGGAGAUCAAGCAAACAAAGCAAAGUCGUAUACCGAUAUUAAAGGUUUGUUGGAAUGCAAAAUGGGGACCCGAAUUCACUUGGGAGCAGGAGGAUCAGUUGAAAUAUAAGUAUCCUCAUCUCUUCCCUUAGUCCAUGAGUAUUUUCUUAAUUCUAAUUUCAGGACGAAAUUCCCUUUAACAGGGGGAUGAUGUGACAACCCGAAAUUUCUAUCUUGUAAAAGUCAAACUUGGUCAACGAUAGUCAAACAUAUCCAAUAAAGGUUAAACUUAUUACUUUAAUUAUCUUAUGGUUAGAUUAGAUUAAUGAGAUGAAUGUGUUCAAACCAAGUAUUCUAAAGUGUUGUAUGUUAAGUGAGAAAACCCUAUGGACCAAGGACCGUAAAACUGGCUAAUGUCGUGAACGAGCCUUCGGGUCGUGAUCAGCCUUCGGACUAUGAACCUAGGUUUGCGGCUGUGAACUCAUCCCCUCUACAUAUUGGUGCUGAUUGAUUUUUGACUCACUUGUACACUUAUGACCGCAAACACAUCCAUUCUCUCCCAAAGAUCAUCAAUCGUAAACCCUCUUUUCUCUCAUCAAUCAUCAAAGGAUCCUUAAUUCACCUUCGGAUCUGUUAAGAAUCAUCAAAAGUUCAUCCGUUCAACAAUCAAGUUGUUGGAACCUGAAAGUGAACCUCUAGCAAUCCUAAGUACAUAUUCCGAAGGUUGUUGGUUCCGAAGGAAGAUGUGAUCUGGAACCUGUCCGGAGCUAGAGAAAAGGAGUGAAGUAUUUUGAAGAGGAACACAUUCCGGAGCUGAUCUUGAAGUCCGGAAUGUAUGUUGAUCCGGACCAAACCUUCAUCUCAAGAACAUUACUUGUCCGGAAUGAAGUCUCUAUAUCUUUUGUGCAUUUAUUACUUUUGUCUUGUAUUGUGAUGUAACAUUUCAUAGGACAUAGUUUAAAGUUUAUUUAGGACAAUCAGAAUGUCAGGCUUGUAUCUUUUAUCCGGUCCUAUGUAAACACCUAGGUUAAUUUACUGUAACAUUCUCUCCUAUAUAUAGGAGCAUUCAAUACAAGUCAACUACGGAUCUUUCUCUUACUUUUGGCAUUUACUCUUAUCACAUUAAAAACAUUCUUUUUGUUCUUCAUUCUUUGACAUUACUUUGAUCAUUAUUUUCCUGUUCUUAAUUAAUGUCUUGAUCAUUUGUUGAACUGAUUAUCUAAUACUUGACUGGUCUUUCAAGUCUCGACUUGAACAUCCAUUUUCAAGCAGACUUUGAGAUGUUGUAUGGGAGGAGUUGGGAUACCUACCUUCCGUUGGCAGAAUUCUCCUACAAUAAUAGUUAUCAUGCGAGUAUCGACCGCCCUCCCUUCGAGAUGUUGUAUGGGAGGAGGUGUAGGACCCUGAUAUGUUAGGGCGAGGUUGGAAAGAGGGUAAUGGGGAGCACUGAAGUAGUGCUCAAGACGACAGAGAAGAUUCUGCAGGUUUGGAGCAGGCUUCAGACUGCUCAGAGUUGGCAGAAAAGCUAUGUCGAUAAGCGCCGAUCAGACCUGGAGUUCCAGGUCGGGGAUAUGGUUCUCCUAAAGGUGUCGCCAUGGAAAGGCGUUAUCGGAUUCAGGAAACGGGGCAAGUUGGAACCCAGGUACAUUGGACCGUUUAAGGAUAUAGCCCGGGUGGGCAAGGUGGCAUAUAGGCUAGAUCUGCCAGCCGAACUCAGUCUGAUCCACAACACUUUCCAUGUUUCCCAGCUACGAAAGUUCCCGGUGGACGACUCAGUAGUGGUACCCUUGGAGGACAUUCAGGUCGACGGGAGGCUGAGCUACAUUGAGCGACCUGUGGUGAUCCUCGACCCGAAGUCAAAGGAUCUGAUGAACAAGAGAGUGGAGCUCGUGAAGGUGCAAUUGCAGCAUCGGAAGGGCUCGGAAUGGACUUGGGAGCCGUUGGACAAGAUGAUGGAACACUACCCAGAGUUGUUCCAGGAGCGAGUAGCAGACUUCGAGGACGAAGUCUGAAAUAAGUGGGGGAGAUUUGUAGCACCUGGUUCUUGGUACGUAUUCCUUUUAUUUUUAUAUCAAAGUGUUUUGCAUUUUGGGCCUUGGACUUGGCGAGUCGAAGGACCAACUUACCGAGUAGAAGCGGGAUGGGACGCGGGAUUUAAGCCGUGGACUCCACGAGUCGGGUCCCAGACUCGACGAGUAAGUGUUGUCUGGACAAAAACCCUAAUCCAAGGGUUUUCACCCUAUUUAAACAAUGUUAUGUCGUCCAAAACGUCCCUUAUGCUCCCAAAACACCUCUCAUUGAAACCUUAGCCGUUAUUGAAGCAAUAUAAGCCUUGUUGGUGGAUUUUGGUGCUUGUGAUCUUAAGAAGGAAGGAGAAAAGCUUGAGGAAGCAAGUAGAGACCAAGGGAACCCAAGUUUGUACACCUUCUACAGCUCAUUGAAGGUAAAAAGUUGUAACCUUGCUCAUUCAUUUGUUAGAUCCCUCUUUGGGGAGAUUUAGGGCUUUUAUAAGCCAUUUUUGGUGGCCAGCCAUGUUUGCAAACAUGGUUGGGGGUUAAAGCUUCUAAAUCACAUCAUUAAAGGAGUCACUAGGCAGAUUUGGGUUGCUUUUGCACCCAUGAAAGGUCCUAUGUACCAUAGGAGCUUGUUUUAUGUCUUUUUGAGCUCAAAGUCCCAUGCAAGCACAUAAAGUUUGUAACUUUACGUGCUAGAUCGAUUGUAGAAGCUUGGAUCUAUCUUUUGAUCAAAGGUUGUACAUCAGAAAUCAAGGAUUUAGAGUGUGGACGUGACCGACUCGACGAGUCCGAGGCUUUGAGUCCCAUAUCUGUCGAGGGUCAAAGGAACCCAGUUGAGUGUUAGAAGGGUUGUAAUCGGACAGAAAGAGUUAACCAAUGUAUUGGACGUGAUUUUAGACCUGGAGUUCAUGGGACUCGACGAGUGCUAGAACAGACUCGGCGAGUCCAAGGAAAUCUUCUUAAGGAUAAAGAUAAACUCGACGAUUUGUUCAUCAACUCGGCGAGUCGAGGAAAGAACUUGUUCAUCAGAUGAAGGUGAACUCGACGAGUUGUUCAUAAACUCGGCGAGUCGGAUGAGUUUCAUGCGAUGUUCAUGUGAGGGAGGAACUCGUCGAGUUGACGGCCCAACUCGACGAGUCGGGUCAUGGAUGAGGACGAGUAAAGGGUGAGGGACUCGGCGAGUUGACGACCCAACUCGGCGAGUCGGGUCAACUUGAAGUUGACUUUGACUAGGCUUGGACUGACCCUGUUUAGGGUUGUACUUGUUGUGUGUUGACUUGAAGGUUGUCAUUGAAGGGAUCGAGGAGUCGAAGGGAGUCGACUUGUGCGCCGCGGAUAAUUCAAAUACUGCACGACAUUGAGGUGAGUUACCUUCCAGUAGGGGUGGGUCUACGGCCACAAUGUUAGCCCACCAAAAAAAGGGGUAAUUAGAAGAUGAUUGUCUUCGUGAUAAUUAUCUUGGUUCGGUUAUGUGUUUCGAUUAUGAGAUUUAACUGUAUGACAUGUUAUGUGUGUAGUAGGGAUUAGUUUCCCUGACAGUGGUCCUUAGGACCUAGGGGUAGGUCAGUACCCGGAUAUGCCUGACUGUAUGUUUAUAUCUGUUGUUGCAUGCUAGUGGUAGGGGUGAAAUAGUCCCCAGUUACCGGUUGAAAGAUACCGAUGACGGUUACCGGUUGAAAGAUACCGAUGAAGGUUAUCGGUUGAAAGAUACCGACGAUAUUGUAUGGUAUGUGGUCUGAUGGGGGAACUCACUAAGCUUUGUGCUUACAGUUUUAGUUUUGGUUUCAGGUACCUCUUCGUCAAAGGGGAAGGAGCCGGUGGUGCAGCAGCACAUCACACACACACAUGGUUUCCGCAUUGAGUUUAUGGGACUGUACUUUGAUUUUUCAUUACUUCUGAUGUUAUGGGUUGAGACACAACAUUAUGAUUUUGUAAUGUGAUGUUUUAUCGACAACGUUUUUGGUAAAAUGUUUAUUAAAUAUCGUAGUUCAAAAAUGAAAUUUGCGGGCUUAAAUUUUGGGUCGUUACAGACAGUGCCACGUAUCAUAUGAAACAACAACAUGAGCAGACUCAUAGAAAGACUUGACAGGCGAAGGGAGGACAAGAUACAAGUCGUGGAGAUCACUAUUGCAUCUUUGAAUGAUUGUACCUAUUUUAAGAUCCUUCACAGUUAAACCAAAAGGAUCAAACUCGACGGAAACAAAAUUAUUGGUAGUGAAAUGACGAACAAAGAUGAGAUUUUUAACUAUUUUAUUGGAAACAAGAAUAUUUUCUAAAAACAACUGAUUAUUGGAAAAGGGAAAAGAAGUUUGACCAAUAGAUUGAACAGGAAGAAAAAAAACCAUUACCAACCACAAUGAAUUUAGAAGCCCAUGGAGUUAGAGAGAGCAUUAUACCUUGGUUGAAAGUCAUAUGCGAGCUGGCACCAGAAUCCAUGUAUUAGUUGUUGUCAGGCGGCGGUUGAACUGAAAUGGCUUGAAAAACUGAAGCAAGGUCUGUGAGUUGUGGCUGCUCAUGAUUAGAAACAUGGCUACCAAAAGACAUGUUGGAUGACUGCUGAGAUGGCGUAAAUGACUAUUGUUGGGGUGCGUUAUAAGACGAACAAAUCUAUCCAAAAAAGGUUGUUCAAGUUGUUGUGAAGGAUAACUGAGAGGGGCAGCUUGCUCAAGGGAGAACCACCGAAGGGGAAAAAACCAUAGGGAGCAGCGGCAACAGCAAAUACAACAGAGGGUUGUUGUUGGGCGACAACAGGUGGCUGUUGCAUGGAGGCUGACAUAUGAGUUGCUGGUGUUGCUCCAAGUAGACCCAAUGGCUGAAAAGAGUGUGCUCCAAACUGCAUUACAGGACCAAAAAGAGGUUGAUUUUGGCCUUGAACUCCUUGUGUACCUGAAAAAGAGUUAGAAUUAUUGGAAACAUUAGCAACCUCCUGGCAGCAAAACAUCCAUUAUUUUUACCCCUAUUAAACUUAUUUUUCGAUUUCCCACUGGUGGUUGCGGAUGAGUACAAGGCAGCGGACGAAGUGAGUGUAGAAUCACCAGUUGGAUCGGUUGCUUCUUUGCGAGAUUCAUGGAGUAGCAACAUGUUUUUGGCAUCAAGGAAUGAGGGAAAUGGCUUAGUGUCUGUGAUCACAUCAACAAUGCUACGAUAUGAUGGCGGAAGCUGGCGAAGAAUUUGCAUAACAAGCUCAAUUUCAUCAAUUUUGGAAUCACAAUCAGCAAGUGCCUCAACCAAAUUCUUAAAAGUGUGGCAAAAUUCUAUGAUUGAUGAGGACCCUUUCUUGGUAUUUUGAAAUUGUUCUUGAAGUUGGAGCAUACGGGACAUGUUGUUAUUGAGGAAGAAUUCAGUGAGCUUGUCCCAAAGAUGUUUAGCUGUACAGUCACCACUAGACAUAAUCUGCAAAAGAUUAGCAUCAUAUGUAGUAUAAAACCAUGAUUUGAUCCUAGAAUCAAUGGCCACCUAAUCUACAUCAUCAUCACCUUUUCGGAGGGAUUUUCUAGUAAUAUGACCAUGCACCUUGGCUCCUUUGCAGAUGUAUAAGAAGAUGCGCUUCCACAGUUUGUAUUUGGACCCAUCAACUGAUAGUUUAAAGAUAAACUAGCUGUAGACAUUGGUUAGUGCAAAGACAAGUUGUGUGGCAGUGGGAGAGGUGGUGGAGGUCAAUGUGGGUACAAUGUACAUAGAAAAUAAAGGAAAUUGAGAAAAUAAAUUUAACAAGAGUAGUAAAUGAUGAGCAUAAAGCUAAACCAAAGGAAGGAAGAAUUUAAAUGUGCCAGUAUUUUAACUCAACAAACAUCAACAUAACUUGGGUAGUGAACUAGGAAGAGAUUUGCGAUCAAUGGAUAUUGUUGGAAGGUUAUUGUGAUCGAUAUGGCACAAGAGGCAGGAAGUCACAGAGAAAAAACUGUAGGCAAUUGCUUCGAUCGACAAGGGAAAAUGAGAAAGACCUUAAGGCAGCGCUAGAAUAAAAAUUGGAGAACACGUUUGGUACUUGUGCGAUUGAUUCAAAAGGAAAACACAGGAAGGCUCAAUACCAUGUUUAAUGAUNAAAAGUAUAAAAAUAGAAAUAACUAAACAAUAUAUUUAACAUCGAACAUGCUCAGCUAAUCCAUACCCACAAUCACACAAACAUCCCAAAUGGGAAUAGGCAUCAAAUCGAUCGGAUAGGGCACCCCAAAGAUCUCUAGAACACAAGUCGAAUACAUUGAUGAAGUAGAAACCCAUGCUCGUUGGUGAUAGAGACUCGUAACGGACACGAAAACUCCUCAACGGGCAUAUCAAACUCCAUACUGAACGAUCUAGAUACAAAAGAUCAAAUCGAACCCAAGCUAAACAACCCUAGAGUAGGAAAGGAGUUCAGUAGGAACGUCCCAGUCAAAACAUUUGGAGUUGCUCUGGCCUCAUUGGCAUUGAGCUUAAAAGCGUGACCUCAAUCCCUCAAGGGCUCCACACUCCCCUGGCGCCCAUCUGUGAUCCUCAAAGUAGCUGGCGUCGGGUCUGACGUCGACUUGGCGGCGAGCAAUGGACAUUAGACCAUCACAUGGCCAACCUAAUCAUAUUGAUAGCAAAUCCUGGUACUCGGAGUUGGGACUAUCUGGUGGCAAUCCCUUGCAUAGUGGCCCUCAUUUCCACAUUUAUGGCACACAUUACCUGAUCGACAGGCCCCCUCAUGAACCUUACCGCACUUCCCACAAGUGCGGCACCUCUGUCCUCCAUUCCUAGAAUCGGCGGCCUUGAACAGCUUCGACGCUGGCUACGACUGCACCGGGGCUGGUCUCUGCUCCCUUGUCUGCAACUCCAACUCAAUCUCAUGCUAUCAUGUGGACUACUGCAUUUCCAUCAAGGUAUCAUAGCGUUGGCUGGAAACAAACUGCCAGGUAUCCAUCUUGAGCAUACUCAAGUAAUGGGUCAUCUGAGCUUGUUCGGAAGCAAACUCAGGGCAAAAGAUGUCCGGGGCUGGUCUCUGCUCCCUAGAAUCGGCGGCCUUGAACAGCUUCGACGCUGGCUACGACUGCACCGGGGCUGGUCUCUGCUCCCUUGUCUGCAACUCCAACUCAAUCUCAUGCUAUCAUGUGGAGUACUGCAUUUCCAUCAAGGUAUCAUAGCGUUGGCUGGAAACAAACUGCCAGGUAUCCAUCUUGAGCAUACUCAAGUAAUGGGUCAUCUGAGCUUGUUCGGAAGCAAACUCAGGGCAAAAGAUGGCCCUCUCCAUGAACAUCCUGGUGAUCUCCGUCACCGACUCAGUCCCCUACUUCAGGUCCAAAAACUCCUGAGACAACCUCUCACGAUCCACUCACGACACAUAUCUGGUACGGAACAUCUCAAUGAACUUCCCCCAAGAUACCACAACUCUCUGAUCAACAACAUACGAUCCCGUAACAAGUUUACACCAAUCCUUCGAUCUGGACCUUAGAAGGUUCCGAGCACACCCGACCUUCUGGUCAGCUGGCCAGGAGCAGGUGAAAAACAUCCCUCUACGUUAGAUAGCCAACUGAUGGCUACGAUCAGGUCCUGAACUCCAUAAAAAGUCGAGGGCUUCAUAUAGUCAAAAUCCCGAUACUAAAAAACCCACCCGACACAAAUCCAUGCCGCCGCGACAGCUGCAUUAGCCGCAGCAGUAGCAGCCUCCGAAAAAGCAUCAUAUAUGUCAUCAAAGAACUCCAUCAACACAGACUUGAUAGAACUAAAAAGCUAUGAUAUCUGCCCUCCUCCCUCCCCGACAAUAGUCAUAAUCUCCUCAUGGAUAAUUUCUUUGAUGUAGUCCUCAGUCACAAUUGGCCCAUCCUGGUUGCCACCUCCUGAUCCUGACCCGGAUUCUGUCUCGAAACGUCUCGUCACCAUCAUACUAAAAAUAAAUCAGGGAUAUAUCAGAUAACACACAUAACAACAAGGGAACCAACUCCUAACAAAUCCCUAGGGGUUCUGACUUCCCCGGUACUCGUACGGGUCCUGUGCUUUCAGUAGUACGGGCCCAUACUACCUUCCACACCUACCCAUAUUCGUCCCAAAGUAUCAUCACAACAGCUCUAACAAUACAUACAAGCACACUCAACACUCGAUCCUCACUCCCUAGACGAAAGCUAAGCAUGACGAGACUGGCUGACUAACCCCACACAACUCAUCCAUGAAACUUCCACCAACCCUGCAACACUCGCAUAUGCUAAUCAUACAUAACACUGGACCCUAUAGACAGUCGAAUAUUUGAUCCUAUCCUAAGCCCUUCAUCAAACAAGAACAGGAAAUAGGGCCAAACCAAACAUUCUUAGGCUAUAGAAUCUUAGUUAUAUAUGACCAUAAUGCAUACACUAAGCAACUACAAUAAUGAUGUCAACUUCAUAUAAGGAAGAACCCUAGGCUAUCAGGCAUCAUACAUAUUCAGCCAAUUCCAUCAUGAAAUUUUCUAAAGAUUCAUAGCCUAUCACUAGGAAGAACCAAUGUGGUAUUUUUUGGGUCUACUUAGUGGCUCCGGCUAAUCAUACACCUUGCAUCCUCCUUGAUUAUUUUUGAAAAGAAUUUGGAAAAUUGUUUUAAAAAUAUAUUUCCUUAGUUUGAGACUGGAUUCACACAUAGCAUUCCUCCAAAUCAUCAUUGUUUACAAAAUAGUUUUCAAAACAUGCCUAAUAUCAAACUUUGUACAAAAUCACAAAACUAAACACGAGAAGGUGCAUGAUCAUGCUUUCACCUUUCCGUGAUCCUCUAAAGUACCUGAAACAUAAUCCAAAACCUUAAGCCGAAAGCUUACUGAGUUUCCCCCAAAGUACCAACACAACACAUGAUUAUAAUAAUAAUAAUAACAACAAAUAGCAUGCAUACAGAACCUUCAACAUGACUGGACCUCCUCACCGGGCCUUCAACCUAUCUGGACCAUUCUUCGAGCCUUCGGCCUGAAUGGUCCGCCUCACAGGCCUUCAAUCGUUCCGGGCCAUCCUGAGUCUGUUGGCCUUCAGCACAAAGCAGGACCGCCUCAACCCAACCACACAUACACUGUGUCGACACACACACACACACACACACACACAUAUAUAUAUAUAUAUAUAUAUAUAUAUACAUAUAUAUAUAUAUAUAUACAUAACAAACAAUCGUGCGAAUAACCUACCAAUAAUAAUCAGACAGAUCUCACAAAUUACUUAGCAUAGCAUCAUCCUAUCUACCAUGAUACAGAUCAGGCAGAUCACUACAGCACUCAAUCGUAUGAUAAACUAGGAUAACAAUCCAAAGGGCCGACAUUGGUUCCUUCGACCCGAAAGUACAGUGACGAAAACUUACCUCGCAAACUAAAUAGAAAUGAUGAGGCCCGACUCCGAAUCAUAACUCUCUACACGAUACCUGAUUCCAUUAAAUCACCAAUUUCCAUAAGACUCCAAAGUACCCUCAAGGUCAAACUUGGUCAAAGUCAAAGUCAACGAUCAAGGUCAACAGUCCGUGUUGACCCAACACACCAUGUUCCACCAGCAUCCAAAUAGUCGGGAAAACCUCAGCCAAUACGCUGUGUUGGCAUGUAAACAUGGCAUGUUUUCCCGAGUUGGAGCAGCUUAAUACAUUCAGCUGCUUUCUUCGAUUCCAAUAACUCUAAAGCUCAGAUCUAGUCCAAAAUGCUAUUAAGAAGGAUAAAGUUUCCAACUUUAUCUAUUGGGAUUACUCAAAUGGUUCAAAAACCCAACCACAAGGCUUGAAGAUAUAAGGGCUUAACCAAUAAGCACUUAAUCCUUAAAGUCUGCAACCCAUCCUUUCCAGAAGAGAUUCUAGCACCAAAACCAUCCUAGAGAUCGGUGCUUUAUAGACAUGCAUGUCUUGAACCCAUAAUAGGUUAAAAUGGGGAUUUAUGACCUAAUCUCUAUGCAUGACAUCAAAACUCAACUAUAGGCCAGAUCGAAGACUCUACUAGGUGACCUAGACUUCGAGAUUCUUAAAGUUGCAAAUUUUAUGAGAUCUAACCAUCCCAACCUUCAAGAAUAAGAAGCUAAAGGGGCAAAAAUAAAGAUCUAGCAACAUGGAAGAAUAAAAAUCGGAUCUUGGACACUUACAAAGGUCCAGAAGAGUGACAAACUGAAAGAUGAGGACUUGCUUUUUGGAUCCUUGCUUCCUUCUUCCAACUUCUUCCUUCCUUGGCUUCAAAAACAUCACAAUAGCUCAUAAAUGAGAGGGAAAGAUAAUUAGGGUUUUCAAUUGUCGAUGUGAGGGAAUUGGAUGUUGAUAAAAGGGCAACUCGUGGGACUUAAGGAGAUUAUAUAGGGUGCAAACCCUAAAAAUUAGUAUUUUCUCAACCAGCCGCCAACACGCCGUGUUGGUCCAUGAAGAUACGCGACCCAAAAGUUCUCAACACACCAUGGUGAGGCUUCACCGCGCCGUGUUCCAAGGGAAAGACAUGCAUAGAUGGAAUUAAUUUCAUACCUAAAAAAUCAUGAUGUUAUAUAUANNNNNNNNNNNNNNNNNNNNNNNNNNNNNNNNNNNNNNNNNNNNNNNNNNNNNNNNNNNNNNNNNNNNNNNNNNNNNNNNNNNNNNNNNNNNNNNNNNNNNNNNNNNNNNNNNNNNNNNNNNNNNNNNNNNNNNNNNNNNNNNNNNNNNNNNNNNNNNNNNNNNNNNNNNNNNNNNNNNNNNNNNNNNNNNNNNNNNNNNNNNNNNNNNNNNNNNNNNNNNNNNNNNNNNNNNNNNNNNNNNNNNNNNNNNNNNNNNNNNNNNNNNNNNNNNNNNNNNNNNNNNNNNNNNNNNNNNNNNNNNNNNNNNNNNNNNNNNNNNNNNNNNNNNNNNNNNNNNNNNNNNNNNNNNNNNNNNNNNNNNNNNNNNNNNNNNNNNNNNNNNNNNNNNNNNNNNNNNNNNNNNNNNNNNNNNNNNNNNNNNNNNNNNNNNNNNNNNNNNNNNNNNNNNNNNNNNNNNNNNNNNNNNNNNNNNNNNNNNNNNNNNNNNNNNNNNNNNNNNNNNNNNNNNNNNNNNNNNNNNNNNNNNNNNNNNNNNNNNNNNNNNNNNNNNNNNNNNNNNNNNNNNNNNNNNNNNNNNNNNNNNNNNNNNNNNNNNNNNNNNNNNNNNNNNNNNNNNNNNNNNNNNNNNNNNNNNNNNNNNNNNNNNNNNNNNNNNNNNNNNNNNNNNNNNNNNNNNNNNNNNNNNNNNNNNNNNNNNNNNNNNNNNNNNNNNNNNNNNNNNNNNNNNNNNNNNNNNNNNNNNNNNNNNNNNNNNNNNNNNNNNNNNNNNNNNNNNNNNNNNNNNNNNNNNNNNNNNNNNNNNNNNNNNNNNNNNNNNNNNNNNNNNNNNNNNNNNNNNNNNNNNNNNNNNNNNNNNNNNNNNNNNNNNNNNNNNNNNNNNNNNNNNNNNNNNNNNNNNNNNNNNNNNNNNNNNNNNNNNNNNNNNNNNNNNNNNNNNNNNNNNNNNNNNNNNNNNNNNNNNNNNNNNNNNNNNNAUAACUUCUUGUGGUAAUGGAAAAAAAGUUUUUAAGUCUUCUCAACUUUUACCUUUUAACAAAAAAAAAAUACCUAAAUUAAAAAAAAAGUUAGCAUGAGUUUAAAGUUUUUAUUUAACAAAGAGUUUUAAAUCCAAAAGCUAAUUUAAGUAGAUUUUCAUAAAAAAACACCAAAAUAUUUUAACAAAUUUACUUGAAUAUCCUUUAGAAAGAAAUUCAUACCAUAUUUCCUAUGAUCCAUCAAAUGACUUCUAGUUCAGUGGUAUUAUGUUUUGUCAUCACUCUUUGAGGUUAAGGUUGAAGUCUCAUUAGAGCCACAUGUAGAUUUAACAGUAAUACAGUAGAAGUUAGAUUUGGCGUUCAAAUUUUUUUUUUCCUAUGAUCCAAUUAAAACUCAUGUUUGGUUGAAAUCAUCUAAUACCUUUAUCUUUAACUGAUUAAUACCUUUAUCUUUAACUGAUUAAAACUCAAUUAAUAAUAUGUCUAAAUUAGUUUGAUAUGUUUAGUAAUGCAGGCCCAUUCAACAUGGGUCAUUCCAUAUAGACAAGAUAACUUAUUUCGAAUUAAUGAAAAAACCAUCAUAUAUAGAUAUAUGCUUUUAUGGUUAUUAUAGUUUAGAAAAUUAAUUUUUCAUGAUUAUGUUCUAAUAUUAGAUUUUACAUUAAAUAAUUUUAUAUAUUAUUCAUGUUACAUAUGAAGAACAUUCAUUCAAAUAAAAGUUAUAGUUUUUAGUUUCUAGCUUCCAGUUUUCAGCUACUGGCUACAAUAUAACUAUUUUUGUCAAACUCGCCGUCAAUGUAUUUUCUAGUGUUCAGAUUGGAUUUGGCCUAAGGGUAUUUAAAAUGCUCUAAGCAGCAGAUUUUUAAGAUUUUUUUAAAAAGAAUUUAUAAAUAUGUAUCAUGCCAAGAUAUACUUUAAGCCAUAGUUUUAUGGAUAACAAAAUAACUAGUGUCAUUUGUGCAAUGCAACGGGGCUAUUCUAGGCCAUGUAUGGUGUUAAAGUUUACACAUUGUUGUCCCAGGAUGAACCUCAAAGAGUGACAGCAUUACAGAAUUUAUAAUGAAAGCCCCAUGCAGUUAUGCAUUCUGCCACUAAAAGUGAAUAUGGUUCUAUUUAUAGGCCAUAAGAGUUAAAGUAGUCAAAUAUUCUUGUUUUUCCUAUAUCAUACCAAUUAGUUUAACAGCUUACAUUUAAGUCCUUCCAAUGCCAUUCUGGUAUAUGGUCAAAGUCACUUAAUUAUUAUCGCAUCUUUGAAAGGUUAAGGUUAAUAAUAGCAAUUAAUAUACUUUUCAUUUUUUCCACUUAGGUCGAUGAAUGUUGUACCGUAUAACUCAUUGUACUUUAACCAAUUCAAGAUGUGUUCAUGUGACAUCUUCACGGCCAAACAGAUGAUCAGCAUUUUGCAUUACCAAUUUAACUAAAUAUACAAUUAUAUUAAUCAUCAAACACAAAAAUACACUUAUUUAUAUAUAUAUAUNNNNNNNNNNNNNNNNNNNNNNNNNNNNNNNNNNNNNNUAUAUAUAUAUAUAUAUAUGUAUGUAUAUAUAUUAAAUUACAUGGGUCCCCUCACAACCUUUUCUCCUUCCGACUUCAUCAAUCACAUCUCUUCCACCUGUAAUUUGUUUCUUUAUUCUCUUCUUUCUGAUCACUUUGAUUCUAUAUGGUAGUAGAAAACCUCAAAACGACAAAAACCUAAGCUCACGAAGGAUAGUUGUGAUAAGUUGCCAGAAAAUAUUGUAAUCAAAGAAGGGUAAUUAAAUGGGGAAAGGGGAAAGGGUUAUGGUUAUGAUGUGACCCAUAUAAUUUACAAAUCAAUAAACUAUUUAUAUAAAUUGGUAAUGUAAAGCAAAUAUAAACUCAAUAAUAAUAAUAAUAAUAAUAAUAAUAAUAAUAAUAAUAAUAAUAAUUCAUCUUUAUAUUUAAAUUUAAUUAAGAAAAGGCAUAUAAGCAAAAUAUCGACAUGUCAUUGUCAUUUGUUGCUAUUAGAUGACCUCAACCACUUUAUGAAGUUUCAAAUAAUUACACUAGACCCGACAUUAGCAAAAUUUACAUGUUCCUAUAUAUUCAAUAAUAAUAAUAAUAUUUAAAUUUAUAUUUUAAUUGAACUUCCCAUAUUUUUAUCUUAUGUAUGUAAUGUAGUAAAUUUUAAGAUAAUUACCUUCUUUACAGGUUUGGCUUUUAAACUUAGAUAAUCCCACAUAUCUAAACGAGGGCCAUUUUUAUUCAUAAUCUUUUUCCCCUAAUCCUAGUUUCACUUAUUAUGGACCAAUAUCUGGCACCCGUAUGGUUGUAUCCCUACAAAAUAUAUCAUCCAAAAAGUGGAGAUAAUAUACUCAUAUAUAUAUGUACCUUAUCUUGUCAUGUGAUUGUACGUCACUAGAAACAAGCAUAAUUAACUCAAUAUAUUCAGAAGUUUUGAAGUUAAUGAUGAAAAUCCAAUUGCUUAAAAGAAAAAACAAACUAAUGCAAGUUCUUCUCACCCAGAGAUCCAGCUAGACAAAUAAAAGGGAUAAGAUUCUUGUAGUACCAUUAGUACAUGCAUAAAAGCAUUAAUAUCAUACAUGGGUGUCCACAUAUACCUAAUUCCAACAAGUAUGUCGGUGUAAAUCUUCAUGAAAAUCAUGUCAAAAAGGUAAACAAGGUGUACAACACCAUUUUAAACCAUAUAAAUCAUCCACACAAGGAACUCAAAAUCAACAACAUCAAGAUUCAAGAUUUGUAUCUAUCCUUAUUUCGAGUAAAGAGCCAACCAUUUAGGCAAAUGCCAGGCAAUAUUGUUGUCUCCACAACCUGCAAAAGGGGUACUAUAUAUGGCCUAUAAACAAACAAAUGGCGUCAUCAUGAAUUUCACUUACAUUAACCUCAUAUAUAUUACUUCAUAUAUAUCAAGUUGAACAUGAAUAAUAUUGAUUAUUUUUUUUUUUUAUAUGUUGACAUUGAUUUUACAUGAUUGACAAGUCACCAUCAGCAUAUCAACACUCGAGCAGACUAAACUUGGCGUAAUUAAAUGCAAAAAAAAAAAGGCAGAGUAGAGCCAAGAAAUAAUCCAGACGAUAGAAAAUGGAUUAGGACACUUCAAAGAUUAUAAAUAAGUUGAAUAAAAAUAUUAAAACAAAGAUUUAAAUUUCUGUAACUUCAGUUAAAACUCACAAUAAAUAUAGAAAACUCUAAGAAACUAUUUGAUAGUUGCUAAUUGAAUGGAGGCCUCACUCAAAAGACCUAUUCCUAUUGAAUCCAGCAAACGUUUAAUGCAUGUAAAAGAAAAGGAAAAAACAAAGAGAGAAUCAUAAUUGGGUAACACGUGUUAUGGUUUUUUUUAAACGAUGAACAUAUAUAACAAAUCAUUGUACGGAAACACAGAUGGCCAGCUAUAUAAAAUUUGGAAUUUUGUUAGUACGAAGUACAUCUCCGGAUAACCUAUGAAAGGCUAUAUCUUUUCAAGUGAACUCUAAAACCGGUAAGAUUGGGUUUUGAGAAGUUUUGUAUGUUUAAUAAUUUAAUCUCAUCACUGGACCCCACACUAGCAUAUGCUUAUCUUUUAAGGCAGUGAGUUUCUAGAUUUACCUAACUAGCUAGAGACUAAAAACUGCACACACAGAUAUACCAAAUCACGUGCAAGUAGUGUCAAAAAUCAAAACUUUGAAGUUUGUAUAUAUGCUAUAUAAGGAAUAAAAGAGUUAGAGGAAACUUUCCUAUGUCAAGUGUAUGAUAUUGUUAAGAGAUCAUAAAUAUUUGGUGAAAGGGAAAAAUAACAAGAUAAAUGGUUCUUGAAGAUAUUGAUUCUUCAAUAUUCUUCUCGUUUUGCAAUCUUUAUAUAUAGGCCAACUAGCAUGACCCCACUACCCCCUCCCUCCCUUUGUUUCUGGAGCUUAUAAAAGACACGCAUUGCCACCUAUUCACACAUAUCAGUUCUCUUGAGAGUUUACUUUAAAGAGUCUUCAGCCAAUCCUACCCCUACCUAACACAUCAUCCAUCUCCCUCUCCAUAUUUGUUUACUAUGGCAUCUAGCUCAAUGUCUUCACGUGGGUCGGGUUCAUGGACUGCUAAACAGAACAAAGCCUUUGAGAAGGCUUUGGCUGUGUUUGACAAAGAUACCCCUGAUCGAUGGCAUAAUGUAGCCAAAGCUGUUGGUGGCAAAACAGCUGAGGAAGUGAAGCAGCAUUAUGAAGUCCUUGUGGAGGAUGUGAAGCACAUUGAAAAUGGUCGAGUUCCUUUCCCUAAUUACAGGAGAACCACCGGAGGGGGAUAGCUAAGUUAGCUUAAGGUAAUACAACCUACACUACUAAUCCACAAUCAAAUCAAUUAUUUCAUGUACUAAAAAGUCUUUUCGCUUAUUUCACUAUUUCAAGCCUAGCUAUCAUCUUUUAUUGUGAGCCACACAAAUUUCCAAUAAGGGGAAGCUACUUUAGUUUGCAUGGUUUGAGUAUAUAUUAUAUAUCAUGUGGUGGUUGACUCGUGUCCAAAAGUCAAACAUCACAGUUACCAAAAAGGGCUAUUACCUAAAUAAAAUUGAUGCCCCAGCUCCAACUUUUCAAUCAUGAAAGCAACAUGUGGAAUAUAAUUUUGUGUUUGCAGCUUUUUCUGAUCACUUGCAAACUUGCUAUGGCGUUUAGUGCCAAAACUGUGGAGAUAGAUUACACUAAAAGCAUGAAUCAACAAACAUUUGUUUAAGUAAAUUCAUAAUUCAUCAUCCAUAUUCAUGAAUAUCUUCAUCUAAAAUGCAGGAUAAUGAAUCCAAAACGCGAUGAAGAAAAGCACGGACAUGGAGAACUAGCAACAAUAAAGAUGCAACGAUUAUCGACUUCGAUGCAAGCAGAUGUAACUAGUAAUUUGAAAUUCCUUGAUGCAAUUUUAUUUUCUGCUAUAAGUUUAGCAGAAAAGCUCUUUUUUUCUUCCUAUGCUAAUUGUAUAUGUUGAUGGAGUGAAUUCACACGUGAACUGUGAUUCAUCGCAACUUGUUCGAUCAAAUGUAUGUUGAUUAUAUUGGUUUUGAAUUAUACAAAUCGAUUUGCAAAACAUAACAUAACGAAUCUUACAACCAGAAUACAUACAAAUUGAAGAGAUUGAUGGAGGCAUGUUAAGGUUUUAAUAUCUUCUAACCUUCGAAACUUGAUUAUCACCUUUAAUGCUUCGUAAUUUAUUUAAAGACGAAGCUUUUUUUUUUGGAACCGGCAAAUAUAUUAAAAAAAGCACCAACCCUAGCAAGGCGCUAGAGGAAGGAGAAAAAAACAAAAGACAAAGUUCAAAUUACAAACAAUUUAACGGGGAGCUAAUCCUAUCACCCCAAUUAAAACAACACCUGUCAUAUCUAUGUUUAACCCACAGAAAUGUCAUAGACUUAAUCGAAUCGAUAACCUUAAUCGGAUCAACAAUAACGUCAUUGAAAGUUCUAUCAUUACUGACAUGCCAAAUCGCCCACAAAGCACCAUAGAGGAUCGAGAACAGAGCCUUCUUCUUGCGAUUGGAACCCAUAAUCUGAGGGCCUCAUCAAUAAUCCUCUAACCAAGUUUGCAAUUAUCUUCCCAAUGCCGCACCACAUCGCCAGACUCCUCCACACAUGAUCCGCAAACGAGCAGUCCACUAGGAGAUGGUCGGAAGUUUAUAACCUCGAGAUACAUACACUACACCAUUAGGAGUCUACCUUAAUAUUCCUGCGGCUAAGAGCCAACAAAGUUGGGAUUCGACCCAAUCUAGCUCGCCAAGCGAAACAUAGAACUUUAAUUGGCACCCACUUAAAGACGAAGCUACAAGGCGAAAAAAGAUAAUUGGCCUUUGGGAUCCAUAAUAUAUUGAACUCAUUAAAGGUUAGUGGAUUCGCACAUCAUUAUGUUAUUCUUCAUAAAACUCUACCAAAAUUUCCUACAAUGCAAUGAACUUUAUAAAUUUCAAUGAAAUAUUUUCUAAUAAUUAAAAGGUUUUAUUUUUCCAUUUACUUUGAAGAGGUCAAUAAUCACUCAACUUCAUAUUUAUUAAAUGACAACAUCACAUCCCAAAAUGACAGAUUUUAGUAUAUUGAAUGACAAUUAGACAUAUCACAGUCCUUCAGCUUUUCAUUAGUUUUGUUUAUUCUCACUUAAGAAAACUAAUAUGCCAUAAGGUAUAUAUGUAUAUAUAUAUAUAUAAAUUGCUAGAAUUGGACUAGAAUAAGGAAACAAAUAAAAUAAGGAUAAACACUACGAAAAGAUAAAUACAGAAUCCUUGAAAUUAUUCAAUCCCCCCUCAAGUUGUACAGUAAAGGUCGCGAACGCCUAACUUUGUAUGCAAAUAAUGAAACCAAUCAGUUCCAUGUGGUUUGUUAAAAAUGUCAGCAACUUGUUCUGUAGUACGAAUAGCAUGCGACUGAAUGUGUUGAGUUUCCACAUGCUCUUUGAUGAAGUAGCAAUCCAUCUCAAUGUGUUUUGUUUCGCACAACAACCAAUGAAACCAUAAAUCUCACUAACAGUGGUAGCCAUGACCCGAUAUUAUGCUUCCGUUGACGAUCGAGAGAUAACAAAUCAUUUCUUUGUUUUCUAGACAAUAGGAGCACCCUCAAGAGAAAUAAAAUAAUUGGUUUUGGAGCAAUGUGUGAUUGGACACCCAACCCAAUCUGAAUCGCAAAAAGCAUUCAAGGUUAGAUUUCCAUGUGGGGGUAAGAAAAUGCCUUGGCAUGAGUAGUUUUUAGGUAACUUAAGAUGCGAAUUUCAACAUAAAUAUGCAAAUGCCUCGGAGAAGAAACAAACUGACUUAAGAUGUUAACUGUUUGGUUGUUAAACCAACAAAUAAAGGGAUAAAAUAAUAAUAAUAAAUAAGUCACUGAUACUAUAUACUAAGAGAUAGUAUAGAAUAAAUAGGGUCAAACCACUGAGAUACAUGACUUAAUGUUUAACAAUAUUUUCACACGACACAAUAUCACCGGUUGUCAAAAAGGGGGAUUUUAGUUGACAUCAAAUUAAACUUCAUAAAUAAACAAAUUAAAGACUAAAAAUAGUGAUUAAAAGACACUUUCGAUUCCAAAUCCUAUUCAAGUACCACGUCGUUAGAUGUAGUAUGACAUCAAUUCAUGUUUAAUGUAUUUUGGUAAUUAAGAUAUUGAUAAGCUCUAAUAUCUCAAAUUGCCAAUUAUAUUUUACCUAAAACAUGAUCUUCAAGUAAAACUUCACCUAGUUGAUUCAAAACAUAUAAGCUCUUGGAUUAAAUCACUAAAUGACUUUAAGUUCAGGCAAUUAAUACCAACAAUGUUCAAUAUGCCUCAUAUGCUCGGGACUGUAAAAACAUCUAAUCUUUAAUUAUACAAAUUUUGAGUUAAUUAAAACCAAUUAAGUGUUUGUCACUUGCUCCAAAUCAUAAAACAUAUACAAAUGUCAUAAUUUGACUAACAAGAAUGAUAUGAACCCUAAUUUCAUUGAUCAAGUGAAAAGAGUGCAAUCCAAACAUAUAAUGAAAACCAAAUCAAGGAUUACUAUAUAUAAACAUAAAUCUAGUACAUAAAACAAUCUAAAAAACAAGUAAUUAGGAUUCUAACUGGAAAUGGAAGGAAACGUUAGACAUAAUGGCUAAAUUAGAACACAAAUUCAACAAGUUUAAUCUUCAAACUAACUUACAAAUUCGAAAUAUAAAUGUUUCCAAAGUUCUAAGUGACGAUAAUAUGUAUGAAAACCACCCCUUGCAAAUUCUUGGUUAAAGUUCUCUUCAAAAGGCCAAGGAACCUCUUUUAAUCAAAAGUUAAAAAUCACAAAAAAACCGUCAGACUCGAUUCCAAGCCCUUGGAAUGGCAAGCUUUGAGAUUCCAUGCUCUCAGAAUGGUAAAAUGCUGAGAGCCCCAUUCCACGGCCGUGGAAUGGGCAAUGUAAUCAUUCCACGCCCAUGGAAUCUCCUGAUAGAAGUCCAAAUCCAAAAUUCGCGUUUUCUUAAAUCUUGCUCUCAUACUUCUGAAACUUCGCGUAGUGCCUCCCUUGAACAUCCUAAGAAUUCUUCAAUCCUUAAACACCCUUGAAACACCCAAAAAAUGGUGAAAAGUAAAUUGAUUCUUAAAAAUGUUCCGAAACUGAAAAUGCAUGUAAAUUUAAACUAAAUGUUAUGCAAUACUUGAAUUGAACAUGAAAUAAACAUGUAAAAAGGUGCACUUUAUGCACCUAACAUUAACUGCAAGGGUAACAUCUGGUCGUGUAACUUGCAAGUAAAGAAGCAUGUCUAUGAGUCAUAAAUAUUUUCCAACAUCGACCAAAUGAGAGUUGGUGGAGUCGUCAAUGUAAGUGUUUUAUUCCAUCGGAAAGGAAUUGGGGCGACAACCCUAAAGACCACCGUCGCUAAGGAUGCCCAAAGUAUACUUUAUUUGGAUGAGUACCAUACCACCAUCAGAAGUUCAAGUAACUUCGAUGCCAAAAAGGUACUUCAAGGGCCUGAAGUCCUUCACACUGAAUUUUCAAGCUAAAUAAGAUUUAACAUUGGUGAUAUGUUCAUUAUUGUUGCCAAGUAAAAUUAUAUCAUCAACAUAGAUGAGAGCAGCCACAUAUAUGUUGUCCCUUUUAAAAGUAAACAUGGAAUGGUCGGCUUUAGAAUGUUUAAAACCAAUUUUCAAAAGAGCCUCUAUGAACUUUCUAUACCAAUUUUGAGAUGUUUAACGGAGACCAUACAAGGACUUUCUAUGUCGACAUACGUGAGUAUCAUUGGCUUUAGAAAUCAUUGAGGAACCGUUAUUACUUCUUUUGCAAAGUCUAUGUGUAACAACGUAAAUUUUCAAAUAAAAUUUUCAUUUAAAAUCACAUGAUUCUCAUAACACAUUUCACAAAAAAUCUCAUUUAUUUAAUUUACAAAUCGCAACUCCAUAAUUGUUUGAUUAAAAUCUAGCAUCUUCGAAACAUAACUCUUUCACUGAUGUGUACAAUCAAGUCGGUGUCUUCCCGCAAUCCUGAGAAAACCUGAAACACAUAACACAUAACACGAUAAGCACGAAGCUUAGUGGGUUCCCCAAAAUACCACAUACACAGAUAAUAAGCCUCUCAUGGCUAUAGCUCGUUGGAACCUCUGGUCUGGUCUCAAUGUGGACCCUCCAGUCUCACGGCUCGUUGGACCCUCCGGUCCGGUCUCAGUAACACAUAAUAUACCAUACAUAUAUCACACAGACAAGAUGUAUAAAUCAAGUAAACACAUCAAGCAAUCAAUCAUCCUCGAACUUGAAUCUCGAACUAGCCACUGCUUACCACAUAGGGUAAAUAUCUCUAAUUAAUACUCGAUUCUCGACUCUAAGUAACCAAAUAUUAUUCUUCUCUCUCUAACUCUUGAAUUGGAUAAAAGACCAUUUUACCCCUCCAUGGUCUCCAUUACUCAUGUUGACAAACUCUAAAGUCAACAGAACUCAAACUCGAGUCAACAGUCCAUGUUUGACCUGACUCGUCGAGUCCCCUCAUUUCCUCAGAAUUCUCAAGAAAGUCCAACUCAACUCGUCGAUUUGACCCCCAACUCGCCAAGUUAUCGCACGAUCAAGCUUACCGGGACAAACCCUCACCGACUCGUCGAGUCAGGCCAUGGACUCGGCGAGUCCCUUCGAUCUGAUUUCUCAUUCAAACGAUUUAAGGCAAAUCUAUAACUCAAAACACUAGAUCUACCAUCCUAAGGCUCGAUUGUCACGUAAAGCUUCGAUCUUUACACUCAUGCAUGCUGGUUUUGCGCCAAACUACCAAUACAUGUUCUCAUAAGGUGUUAAACACCAUACUCCUCAUAUGGAUGAAUAAAGUUGGGACUUUUGGGCUCUAGGGACCUCACAAAGUCCAGAUGUGAGGUUUAACACUCAAGAUAACUUAGUAUUCUCGAAUUCCAAAAUAAUAUGUGAUGAAAACCCUAACUUGUUAACUCAUGAGAUCUAACCAAAUAAAGGGGAAAGGUUCAAGCUUUUUACCUUCCUCUUGAAGCUCUGGACAAAAUGGCCUGAACCCCAACAACUCCUGCCUGUUCCUUGCUGAAUAAACUCCUCUUCCUCCUCAAAAAUGCACUAAAAUCCUUCAAGUCUAGCUUAGAGACUCUCUUAGCUCACUACACUCACUUAGGGUUUCACAUAGAAGGGUUAGGCAGGUGGUGAGGCAGAAAUGGGGGCAUAAGUUCCCUUAUAUAUGCCCCAACACCGAGAAAUUAGGGUUUCUCUGCCCAGCACCUACUCGGCGAGUUGGCUCUCUGACUCUGCGAGUCCAUUCAUUAAACCUUCACAGACAACUCGACUCUGCUCGACGAGUUGGACUCACAACUCAUCGAGUCACUCCAUAAAUCUCAAAAAUUAAACAUAAAAUAAUAUACCUGAAAGUCCGGAUGUUAAAAUUCUCCCCCACUAGAAUUAGAUUUCGCCCUCGAAAUUGCUUCUCAACGUCACAUAGAUCGAUCCUAAAAACCCGAAAAGUACCAUUGAAAGGAUCUUAUACCACAUAGCUAACUUCCUCCAUGGACACCUAAAACCAAACAGGAACUCCCAAACCCGGAAGAGGAAAUACCCUUCUGCCGCUACGAUACCCCUUCUGACUAUCCAGAAUCUGGAAACUCUAGUGGCCUGUCUCACUGGCAGACCGCCCUCUCAAGCUAUCACCAUGUUAUUCGCUCCUCGAAUAAUAGACCCUAAUGACUCACUGCCCCUCUAUUCUCUCGUUGCAACUGAUAGAAAAAGUCAAAGCCCAAAAAUUAGCUACCGAUCACUCAUACCAGACAUACUAAACGAUCCAUACCAUACUCCAAGGAACAAAAGGGUCACAUUACACCAAAGACCCAUCCACUGUACUACAAUUGAAACCCAUCUGAACAAAGAACUCUCAACACCUUGUCCUCAGACACAAGAAAAUGAUCAUGCUUGCUCAGAAGUAUCCUCUGACAUCUAACAAUCAUAAGCCCCAGCUCCCUCUCACAUAUCCCUUUCAACACUGAGCAUCAGGUCAACUCCUGACCCCACAGUUGAACCUCCAAUGGUUACCCAUUGCAUGCUCUAAAACGUCUCACUGACUUCCUUCUCACAACAACCAUCUCGGCCCAUUAUGACACACAAGUCAUGAAGUACGCUUUACCCCAAGCGAAUACUACAAUCCCAACUGAAAUCAUCUCACCCUCGACCUUUUUCAUCUACUACUCAUUAGUUCCAUGCGUCUUACGAUCCUUCCCAUACAAAUGAACUGACCCACUCAGGUCUAAGACAUCGGAUGACACACAAUACCCCUAAAAAGAAACCCAUCUCUGAAUCCGGAAUCUCAUUCGCCUACUCAAUACACCACCAAAGCCAAACUCGAACUCGAGAGUCUGGUCCGAUAUAGAAUUGGAACCACUCGUCCCAAUGAAGCACUCCACUCAUGACCCAUGACCCACAACGCAUGCGUACAUCACUUCUCCAAUUCCUUUCGAUUGCGAUAUCCACAACUUAACUCAGAAUAUAACGAUUACCGAUAAAUAUGGAGACCCCAGUCUCGCCCCUGGUCCGACCACCAGGUUCCCGCACUCAAAGAAUAAGGCUACCCAAGCCUAAAAACACUUCUGCGUCAUGCAACGACUAGCGAAUAAUACGGCUCCCCGUAGUAUCAUAACAUUCCCUCUCAUUAACCCGUGAAGGCUACGGCUCCCCGUAGGCCUACGACAUUCUCUCACUUACUCAUGAAUACUAUGUCUCCCCGUAGUAUCACAACACUCUCUUGCUGACUGGUGAACAUUAUGGCUCCCCGCAGUGUCACAACACUCUCUCGCUGACUGGUGAACAUUAUGGCUCCCCGCAGUAUCACAACACUUUCUCGUUGACUGAUGAACACUACGGCUCCCCGUAGUAUGACAACACUUUCUCGCAGACUGGUGAACACUAUGGCUCCCCGCAGUAUCACAACACUCUCUUGCAGACUGGUGAACACUACGACUCCCCGUAGUAUCACAACACUCUCUUGAAGACUGGUGAACACUACGGCUCCCCGUAGUAUCACAACACUCCUUCUCACUGUCUCGCCAUGGGCUCACUCCAUGGUUUUCCCUUGAUAAUCUGAAGUGAUUACUCCCAAUCAGAUCCACUCACCCUCUUAUCCCCCAUAAUCUCCUCCUCGAGUCAUUACCCCACUCAGUUCACUAUCGAAUACUCCACGGUUCAACAUAGAUAGGUACACACACCCACCCAGGUUAAGCAUCACCACUCCUGACGAAAACCGUCGUGACCAACACUUUUUCUCAUUGCAAUUCAUAUUCUUGGACGCUCUCGUUUGAUGACAAUUAGCUGAAGGGCUCCCGCUGGAACCAUAGUCACUUGAUACUCCACUUGCCAUCUCAUAACUCAAAUCUCAAAAUAAUCCGAAAUUCAGGGGAUUCUACUCAGAUACCUCGGUACACCAUCACAGAACCUCACGAUGCCUAGCCUCAACCAUUGAUCUCCUACUUACUGCAUCGUACUCAGAUACAACAAUGCACCCUUUCAGAAUCUCACAACUGAUCUUCCUCUCAAACAACUCUUAACUUCAGAAUAUUCCAACUCUCAAUUGAAACACAGAGGAAUCGUCAAUGACUCAGAACAUGUUGACAACCAUUCGAAACUCCCUCCUCUAUUGCUCAAAACCCAUGCAAGAAUACACAUACUGACAAUGAAGUUGGUUGCCCAAUCAACUUCUACCCUUCCCAUAGUGCAUAUAACAACCCAUAAAUUGAACCAUAAAUUCUUAACUGCCGAACUAUCCUUAUGAGCCACCCACCUCAAAUUUACUAUUUCAACCUCGAAGAAUUUCCUAACCACCACAACGUCUCUGACCAACGGCCACCUGCCGUGGAGACACUCGUCAUUUCCUGAACACGUACUGUUGGAUUAGUGUCUAAGCCCAUAACUAUUAUUGGUAUGUACUUGACUCGACGCGAGCAUGGUCCUUUUGGGUUGCCUUCACCAAAGCAACUUAAUAGGAUGACUUAUGGAGAAAGAGAUUAAUUAUGAUUUAUUAAUAUAUUAUAUGAAUAAUAUAUUAAAAGAGAAAUUAGAUUGUUUAAUUAAUAUUAGUCAAGAAUUAAUUAGGAAAUUAAUUUUGUGACUAAAAGACUUUAAUUAAACUUGGGGGACUGAUAUUGUAAUUAUAAGAUAAUUGCAAUUGGGCUAUGGAUCACCUUGGAACAUAGGUUGGACGAAUUCUAUGGGAAGCCCAUAAGGAAUUCGUCCAAGGGGUGUUCCAAAGGGAGUCCAUGGGUUGUUUAGGGCCUAAGCAGUCGGAUUAGGGUUUCCUAGUUCAAAACCCUAAUAGCCUCACAUAUUUAAGGACCCCUAGGGCACCAAAAACGAGGCUAAGGUUCCCUUAGGAUUCUUGGACGAAUUUUGGUGCCUCCUUCUCUUCUCCAAAGUCAUCAUCUUGCUCUUGGUGUUUGAGAGCCAUUAGAGGUGUGACAUUUGUGACACUAAGCUUUCAGAAGUCAAUUACAAGGAGGAAUCGAUAUUGUUAUUACUACAUAACAAUCAAGGUAAGAUCUAAACCCUAUUAUUAUGUUAAUAUCGAUUAUCACAUGCUAUAUCUAGGGUUUANUAUCGAUUAUCACAUGCUAGAUCUAGGGUUUAUGGCUUUGGAUGAUUAUUGCAUGUUCAUUAGACAAACUAGAUCCAAAGCUUUAGGGUUUGCAUGUACACCAUAGGAAUGAUGUAGUGCUCAUAACCCAUCAGUGGUAUCAAAGCCUAGGAUGAUUUAUUCUAAUGUAUUUGAUGCAAAGUUUUUUCUUUCAAAGCUGAAAAUUUUCUUUUUUUCGAAUUUAACCAGUUUCACAUCGUGAACAUGUUGUUCAUGUCGUGAACCCAAUCUAACUGCAUGAUUUCGAAAAUCUUGCCUUAAUUUGUUUUGGAUUAUUACCAUAAAUUACAUUAUUCAAAUAAAAAUCAGAUUUUUUGUUAUGGUAAUUGAUAUCCUAAUCAAAUUAAUGGAUAAUUGUCGAAAUUAAGAUAAUUAUUUGUUUUAUUAGAUAAAGAUUGAUUAUUUGUAAUUUUGAUUUGAAUUAUCUCGUGAAAAAAAAAUUAAAUUAGGUCAAAUUUAGAUAAUUCAAAUUAUUUGAUUAAUUUAAUUAUUUGUAAUUUGAUCUAGAUAGUUUUGAAAAGUUUCAAGACUUGCUCUCAAGUUUUGGAAUUAAAAUUUUUUGAUUAAAAAGUUUAAUUUUGAAAUAUUUAAACUCUAAACCAUAAUGAUUUGAAAUGUUUCAAAGCUUGCCCUCAAGUUUUGGAAUUUAAAUUUUAAUUAAAAGGUUUAAUUUUAAAAUGUUAAAUUCUAAAACCCUAAUUUUGAAAAGUUCAAAUUGCACGCUUAUGGUUUUAUUAAAUUAAUUAAGUGUAUAAUUAAAAGAAAGUUAAUAAAUCCAUAAUGAUAUGGUUUACAUUUAAUUAAAUUAAAAGUGUAAUUUGUUAAAUUAGACCACAUAGUAUUUUAAAAGUGUAAAUUACACCCUAUAUUAUAUAUAACAUUAAAAGUCUAAUAUUAUAUAUGUAUAACUUAAACCGCUAGUCUUACCGUUAGUAGGCCUCAUUCACGAAACCGAUCUAUAAGGGAGGUAUAAGGUUAUGGCCUAUAAAAUGGCCGUUUAAUGGGUGUUCACUCUCACCCACCGCUUCCUUGAUUGGUGGAGGGUCGUUAGCCGAAUGGGUAGGAUAGGGCAAACCCUCUCCUCAUUAAAAGUAUAAUGAAUGUUAAAGUAACUAAAUGUUUUACAAAGUUCUCAAUCUUAGUUAUUUUAGGCAAAAGUGAAUUGAUACAAUUCCAUGAAAUUACACUUUGUACCCUUGGUAAGACGUUAGUGGAGCGUGUGUGGUUAACCGGCACACUAAAUGGGUUCUAAGCAAAGAUAGCAAAGGGUGACUCGCUGUUUGUCAUAGUUCGGUGGAGUGUGUGUGGUUAACCGGCACAUUGAAUAGAUGACUGUAACAUUGGGGGCACCAUGUAUAUUUGCAUGGUUAUUCACACCCUGUUUUGUGAUCCUCGGCAUCCCAGUCACAAAUUUAGGGGCAUAUCGAGAUUUAAACAUGCCAUUGAAAAGUUCAAUGAUCUCAAAAGAUCUAGGAGUUUCCAAUACGUUUAAAAAUUAACCUUCUUUUUCAUUUUUCAUGGUGGAAAUUUGUAAAUCGUUAUUUAACUACCUUCAAAUGUUCUGCAAGUUGGAUUACGGCAUCCCUCUUCCAGUUUGUGGAAUAUUGUGUUGGGUCCUAGCCCUAAUGUCUCAUUUGGGUGUUUUAUUAAGGACUCAAUCAACUAAACUUGAAUUUUUCUCCCGUUUCAUAGAUGUCAAAGUCUAACAACUAUGGUCCUCUUAAAUCCGUUGGAAAAAGUUUUCCACAUGAAGAUGAUAUUCCACGAUUGGAUUGUGGAAAUGGAAAUCAUGCUUUACUUCCUCCACCUCCUCCAAUAAUUCUCCCUAAUCCAAGUGUUCGAAGACUUGAAGAGUUCAAGGUCACUCAAGCCAUGUUGGCAUUAAGACACAAAGAUGGAAAGUUUUUGUGUGCACACAUCUUAGAGAUAAAGUCACACAUUGACAGAUUAAGGAUGUUGGGUGUCGAUGUCUCAAGGAAGUUGGUUGCUGACUUGGUUCUUCAAUUACUUCCUGCAUCGUAUGGUAAGUUCUUUAGAUAGUACUAUAUGAUGGACCACGACGUGACCCUUAUUGAUUUAACUUAAUUGUUUAUUGUUGCUAAAUCAUAGAUGAUUUGGCGCACUGGUUGAACAAAUUUGUCUGAUAAAUCAAUAUCCUAACCUUUUGUGGACAAUGGAAACAUUAGAAGUCCAUAAAGUUUUCUCUACGUAAGAGAAAGGUUGAGUUUGAGAUAGUCUCGUGUACCAUUCCAAUAAAAUCCAUAUAUUUCUACUACCAAAAGAAGGGGUAUUGGUUACAAAGCUGCCCUGAGUACCUAAGAGAUAUAAGAGAUGGGAGAGUCAAGAUGUAUGACUCUGCUUUAGGUAAAAUCCACUAUCUAACUCUACUAAGUUCCUAUUUGGAGAUUCUUAAUACAUGAUGUGAUAAGAUUGCAUUUCGAUGUUUUGAAGGAUCGAAGAAAAUAAAGGAAUCUUAAAGGAAGGAGCGAGCUGAGUCUGAUCGCGAAGAAAUGGAUUACGAUCACAUGGAUUCGAUGAUCGGAUUAUGAGCAGCUGCCUAGAGUAAUGAUAAAUUGCUUAGGAAUAUGUAAUAGCAUCGUUUUCAUUUUCAUUGUAAGGAUAUAUUUUUCCGCAAUAAAAUAAAUUUUGAUUUUUGUCUUAUUUAUAUUUCCUUGCAAUGGCAAUUGUGAAAAGUGAUGUUUGUGUGUUUCUAUUAUAAGCAAUAUUAAAUGGAUGUGAUUCUUAGUUAUGUUAUUUAUGAUAAUGUCAUAAUUUCUAUGUAAGGAAAGAUUCCCAUCGCCCAAGUUUCAAUUGGACAGAAGCUUGGAAUCAUAUGAUUUGAAUCAUGUGAUGUAUGGAAAUCUUGGUACUUAGAAAUUUUAAGACUAAUCCCUUGACAAAGAAUCAAGUGAAGGACUAGGAGAUCGAGUUCACAAUGUUGUGCAUUGGUUAAGUCCACCAUAAAUAACAACAAGAUUAUUCGUCAUGAUUUACUAAAGGUCUAGUAGACGUGAUUAUGCUUACAAGAUUAAGUGUAAUUAUGAAUCAUUGAAAGUGUCAAUAAAUAGCAGAACGAAUAAGAAGAAUCAAUUAGGCAGAAAGAUAAAAGUUUCUCCAAUCUAAGAUAAAGGGAGAGUACUUUUGUAUCAUGUUUUAUGAUCUUCUUAAGAACCAUAUUACAAUUCAUCCUCUAAGGACACCUUAGUGCACUAGUAUGGCUAAGAAGAGGAGUCGGGAAUUGUUUAAAUGGUUAAGUCAAUAAGAUGAAUCGUACUGCGUGCCAAAAUCAAAUCUUAAAGUCAAACUCCAAGAUUGUGACUUGAGUGAUAUAAUCUCAAGUAGAAGUGUUCUUACUUUUGCAUAUUUUGGUAAGUUAUGAUGUAUUGGAUAAGACAAAGACCAACCAAUAUCAAAUGCGUGUAGGUUUUAUCUUGAUAAAGACACACGCUAACUCUUGAAUAUUUGUUUUGUCAAUAAAUGUUUCUUGAUAAGAGAAUCUUAUAUGUCAAGAGGUCAGUGGGAGUCUAAGUGAUCUUGAAAAGGUUCAAGAACUAAUAUAGAGUCAACCUAUUAUUAAAAACUAGCACACGACUUGAGGUUUGUAAUCUAUCGUGUUGGCUUAUUCUUGUUUCUGUUCCAUUCCAGUUUGGUCAACUAUGCAUGUGAGUUCUAUGAGUUCUCAUUGGGUUGCAUAGAGGUAAGGCACCUUGAUCAAUGGAAAGUACAUUGAAAGAUAGGGGUGAGCUGAUCAAUAACUUGGAAGCAAUGGUGGGACUCUUGAUGGCAAGAAAUUAAGAAUGAACAAGUUCUGUCCAUAAGAGUUUGGAUUUGUCACAAACAUUGUCUUAUGAUUAUGGUUAUGAAAAAUUCACAUGGAUAGGAGCAAAUACGCAUAAAAUCUAAGUGUCAUAAGGUUUCUCUCAUUCAUGAAAAUGAUUGCAAGGAAACGCUUUCACUAAGAGAGAUUUUGAAGAUAGCAUUAUGUAAUUUGCGUCUCUCGAAUUCGAUUAUGAUUAUGGCAUGCCUCUUCAUAGUUCGAAUUGUGGGAAAUGGAAAAUGGGUCUGAACAUUUUAGACUUAUUGUUAUAAGUUAUAGAAUUGUUUAGACAAACAUAUGGGUUGUCUAAACAAAGAUGUAUGAGUUAGGGAAGCUUAGAUAAAGUUUUAUCGAAGCAUCUCGUAUCAGAAAUAUGAACUUUGGUAAGAAAGUCAAUAAGCAUUGAUUUCUAGAUGUUCAGCUGAUUUUUGAAUACAUGUCAAAGCUAGUGAGAGCAUAAGUGUUAUGCUAGUAAGGAGAUAAUCAUCAUGUUAGUGGGAGCAUGAUUAUUAUUUUAAGAGUUGCGAGUCAGCAAUAUUAAUUAUAGAAAACAAGAGUUUUACUUUGUCAAGUUUCAAGGGUUGAAAGAUUUGUUUUGCUAUAAUUAAGGGAGAGGAUGUUAUACUUCGUUUCCAAUCUAAAAGCUUAGAUAGAGAAAAUUCAAUUGAAUUUAGUCAAAGUAAUAUUUAUUAAUUGCAUUCUCAAAGUUCGAUUAUGAUUAUGGCAUCCGUCUUCAUAGUUCGAACUUUGAGAACAUGACAAAUAGAAAUAUUGUGGCAAUAUUAUGGCAAGAAAUUGGCAAAGUAUCACGUUUUCACUGCGAAUCGUAUCUCAUAUGUUUCGGGUAUAGGAUCAAUUGCAUAUGUUGUAAUAUUCGACCGUUCUAAAAUUUUCCAGAUGCCUAGGGCAUUUAGAGGAAAAAAGGGAAUAGAACCGGAUUUGACUAAACUAAUUAAACAAAUAUUAAAGACAAUCUAAGGUUCGCCAAGGAUUGGUUGCUUCUGGACAAUUGGAAGUAUAGUCAUAGAUCGACCAUAUUGACAUUAUGAAUAGAUAAGAUUCUAUUUAAUGAGUUGUCAUAUGGAAAAUAUGGAAAUGUUUCCUUAUUGGAAGUAGGACGUUGAGAAUCUAUGUCUAGAUUAGAAACUUCUAAGCAAGAAGGAUGUUCAAAGGAAUGUAUUGUGAAUGUGAGACUUCAUGACUAUGGAAUUGUCUUGUAACAAUCUCCAAUAGAGCAUUUUGUAAUUUCAUUGGCAAAGUCUUGGUGACUUUGGCAUUGUGAGAUUACGAAAGGACCGUUGUAUAAAAUGUUAGAAUCUAACAUAUUCUAGUAGUGGCGAGAAUUUUGUAUUCUUGCACUAAUCGGUUAGGAAUUGUGAAAUGAGUAUCAUUGGAAAUAUGUUCAUUUGAUCUAUUUCACAAAGUAAAGACCAUAGGAAAACAUAGUGUGUAUGCUAAGAGCAUGGGACAACUGUUGUUAUAAUUCAAGUAAGAAGUCGAUUACCCGAAACAUAUACAAUGAAUAACGUGUAAUCAAUAUGGUGAAUAAAUAAAAGGAGUUGUAUUUAUACUCAAAAGUUUGAGGACAUAUUGGAUUCGAUUAUUAUUGUGUUUCACUUUGCAUGUUUUCACUUCCUGAAUAAUAAGAUUAUUCGAACGUUCCACAGUCGCUCAUACUUUGGGAGUAGGUAUGAAAGAAGAUUGUCAUGAAUUGGUUUGUAGAUUGUCUAAAGCGUAUUAGACAUAGCAAAGGUUUGUUGCAACGUUCAUGAGUGCUUAUGAACAUGAUUUGAGUAUUGGAUUAAACCUACACUCACUUGGAUCGCUUCAUGGAUUUUAUCACGAGUGAUUGGUGAGACGAUAAUAUCUUAUAUUCUUGAAACCGAGAUGUGUAAGUUGUAUCUUGUGACUUGGAUACACAUUGAUAAUAUGUAAGCGCACCAGUAACUUGGUGUUAUAAAACGUAUUGUUGUGUGUGAUUCGGCGAGUAAGUACAAGCGAUCAUUGAGUCAAAGUUUAUCCAUUACUUUUACCCAAAGUAGGAUAAAAGCGAUAUCUGUGGGCCCCUCGAUGAUUUAGUGAUGACAAACGUAAAUGCUCGACCGGGCUAGGACUAAUUUGAUUUGUUCAAUUAGUCAGUCGCCGUAAACCAGAAAUCGGGACACAACACAUAGACUGAGAGAAUGAUUUCAAUCCAUGUCUCACGUCUAUAUGAUAUCUAGGAUGGAGGAAUAUAUGAUCCCUUAUCUAAAGGACGUGUAUCUGAUAAGAUCAGAUUUAACAGCGGUUUUUGAAAGCUACAAUUGUUGGUCAGGAUCUGAAGUCAUACGCAUAAUAGGUAUUAGACUUAUCCAAGUGGGAUACUGUUGGAUUAGUGUCUAAGCCCAUAAAUAUUAUUGGUAUGUACUUGACCCGAUUGCGAGCAUGGUCCUUUUGGGUUGCCUUCACCAAAGCAACUUAAUAGGAUGAUUUAUGGAGAAAAAGAUUAAUUAUGAUUUAUUAAUAUAUUAUAUGAAUAAUAUAUUAAAAGAGAAAUCAGAUUGUUUAAUUAAUAUUAGUCAAUAAUUAAUUAGGAAAUUAAUUUUGUGGCUAAAAGACUUUAAUUAAACUUGGGGGACUAAUAUUGUAAUUAUAAGAUAAUUGCAAUUGGGCUAUGGAUCACCUUGGAACAUAGGUUGGACGAAUUCUAUGGGAAGCCCAUAAGGAAUUCGUCCGAGGGGUGUUCCAAAGGGAGUCCAUGGGCUGCUUAGGGCCUAAGCAGUCAGAUUAGGGUUUCCUAGGUCAAAACCCUAAUAGCCUCACAUAUUUAAGGACCCCUAGGGCACCAAAAACGGGGCUAAGGUUCCCUUAGGAUUCUUGGACGAAUUUUGGUGCCUCCUUCUCUUCUCUAAAGUCAUCCUCUUGCUCUUGGUGUUUGCGAGCCAUUAGAGGUGUGACAUUUGUGAAACUAAGCUUUCAAAAGUCAAUUACAAGGAGGAAUCGAGAUUGUUAUUACUACAUAACAAUCAAGGUAAGAUCUAAACCCUAUUAUUAUGUUAAUAUCGAUUAUCACAUGCUAGAUCUAGGGUUUAUGGCUUUGGAUGAUUAUUGCAUGUUCAUUAGACAAACUAGAUCCAAAGCUUUAGGGUUUGCAUGUACACCAUAGGAAUGAUGUAGUGCUCAUAACCCAUCAGUGGUAUCAAAGCCUAGGACGGUUUAUUCUAAUGUAUUUGAUGCAAAGUUUUUUCUUUCAAAGCUGAAAAUUUUCUUUUUUUUGAAUUUAGCCAGUUUCACGUCGUGAACAUGUUGUUCAUGUCGUGAACCCAGUCUGACUGCAUGAUUUCGAAAAUCUUGCCUUAAUUUGUUUUGGAUUAUUACCAUAAAUUACGUUAUUCAAAUAAAAAUCAAAUUUUUUGUUAUGGUAAUUGAUAUCUUAAUCAAAUUAAUGGAUAAUUGUCGAAAUUAAGAUAAUUAUUUGUUUUAUUAGAUAAAGAUUGAUUAUUUGUAAUUUUGAUUUGAAUUAUCUUGUGAAAAAAAAUUAAAUUAUGUCAAAUUUAGAUAAUUCAAAUUAUUUGAUUAAUUUAAUUAUUUGUAAUUUGAUCUAGAUAGUUUUGAAAAGUUUCAACACUUGCCCUCAAGUUUUGGAAUUUAAAUUUUUUGAUUAAAAAAUUUAAUUUUGAAAUAUUUAAAUUCUAAACCAUAAUGAUUUGAAAUGUUUCAAAACUUGCCCUCAAGUUUUGGAAUUUAAUUUUUAAUUAAAAGGUUUAAUUUUUAAAUGUUAAAUUCUAAAACCCUAAUUUUGAAAAGUUCAAAUUGCACGCUUAUAGUUUUAUUAAAUUAAUUAAGUGUAUAAUUAAAAGAAAGUUAAUAAAUCCAUAAUGAUAUGGUUUACAUUUAAUUAAAUUAAAAGUGUAAUUUGUUAAAUUAGACCACAUAGUAUUUUAAAAGUGUAAAAUACACCUUAUACUAUAUAUAACAUUAAAAGUCUAAUAUUAUAUAUGUAUAACCUAAACUGGUAGUCUUACCGUUAGUAGGCCUCAUUCACGAAACCGAUCUAUAAGUGAGGUAUAAGGUUAUGGCCUAUAAAAUGGCCGUUUAAUGGGUGUUCACUCUCACCCACCGCUUCCUUGAUUGGUGGAGGGUCGUUAGCCGAACGGGUAGGAUAGGGCAAACCCUCUCCUCAUUAAAAGUAUAAUGAAUGUUAAAGUAACUAAAUAUUUUACAAAAUUUUCAAUCUUAGUUAUUUUAGGCAAAAGUGAAUUGAUGCAAUUCCAUGAAAUUACACUUUGUACCCUUGCUAAGAUGUUAGUGGAGCGUGUGUGGUUAACCGGCACACUAAAUGGGUUCUAAGCAAAGGUAGCAAAGGGUGACUCGAUGUUCCACAGACUGUUCCAUCAGGUACAUCAAGCUUAAUCUUUGUAAAUACCACAUAACACUCGAUGAUAUUCCCGAUAGAAACCAAGCAACUCUAAAUAUCCUGAAUCUCAGAUAAUAUCCUCAAAAAUUUUCCAACGUGUCACCCAAAAUCUCACACUGACAUACUAUCGGACAUCUCAACUAUCAUGUAGUAGCCAUGACUCUCAGUCUGAGAAUAAUGAACUAUCACAAUCCUCAUCUUCAACUCCCCAACCAAUGUUCCAUCAUGAGAAUUAUCAUGAGAGUAGAGACCUCACCCCCACACUCGAUAUCCAUCAUACACAACGAGUGUCAUCGGCCCAGUAUACUCCUCUUGAUCACCCGACACUGCUCCUAAUAUAUGCCCUACUAUAAACAAAUAGGGUAUAUCCUUGUCCUUGACCAUCUCAGUCCCCAAUGAUGAACCUCUCAUGCUAUGAUAUUACCUUGCGGCAGACAUACUUCCCAGAUACUCUGGUGAAACAUCGCAACCAACACUACCCCACAGGGUUUACCUCCAAGCUCAGAAACCGGAAAAUCAAUAUCUCUUCUGCUUCUCACAGGAAACGGAAAUAGAACAACUCUGGUCACAGAAAGUGACAUCUCCACUAUCGGCCGAUUGCUCAACUCAUACUGUAAUCCUCCAUAAAGCACCAUCUCUACUCAUCCUUACGUCUUGCGACUCCAACUGGCAUCUCACCAAAAAUCUCUCGGAAACUCGUUCAACAUGGCCCUCUGGCCCCACACUCUAUCAUAUCGGAUCUCAUUCUAAUCAAUCACAACAGGAUAACUGGUAAUACCAGAAGCACUAACCGCCACGAGUCCAUGUACUCGAACCAUGUUAUCUUCUCUCAAUCUGCUACUUAGAACCUAUGGAACUCCCCCUGUUUCGAGUAUGGGUCCUAUGCUAUCAAUAGUACGGGCCCAUACUACCUGCCACAUCUACCCUUACUUUCCACAUGGAUUGUCCCAGAUUUCCUAAGUGGCUGCUCAACCUUCUCGAUCACCAAUCCCGUUAAACCUGGUCGCUCCCCAGAGAAUACUCUAAUCUAUCAACGUACUCACCUGACUAAGGUCACUCCCUAGGCUCUUCCUAGGUUCUCACACUUCUCUGCCAUCAACUACUGAAGAACUUCUUAUGAUGCCAGCCAUCUACCUCCUGAAUAUCGUCAUAUUCACUUAGUAGCUGACUCCCAUCAUCGACAGUUCCACAAAGCACGAAGCAAGCAGCAUUCGAGCAUCGAAUAAUCUUCACCAACACGUAAAACCACUCUAGGUUACAACUCUAUUUGCUCUACUCACACUCAAAAGGUGUCACCGAAGGGUGUACACCUUUUGAUGCAAUUCCAUGAAAUUACACUUUGGACCCUCCGGUCCGUUCUCAGUGUACACCCUUCGGUCACAUGGCUCAUUGCACCCUCCGAUCCGGUCUCAGUAACACAUAAUAUACCAUACAUAUAUCACACAGACAAGAUGCAUAACUCAAGUAACCACAUCAGACCUUUCGGUCACUCAUAGAUACUACUUAUGGUAAGUAUAGUGAGAAGACUACCUUGCAAGCAAGCAAGCAAUCAUCCUCGAACUCGAAUCUCGAACUAGCCACCGCCUAACACAUAGGGUAAAUAUCUCUAAUUAAUACUCGGUUCUUCACUCUAAGUAACCAAAUGUUAUUCUUCUCUCUCUAACUCAUGAAUGAGGUAAAAGACCAUUUUACCCCUCCAUGGUCUCCAUUACUCAUGUUGACCAAACCCUAAAGUCAACAGAAGUCAAACUCAAGUCAACAGUCCAUGUUUGACCCGAUUCGUCGAGUGCACUCUUGUGACUCGUUGAGUCCCCUCGUUUCCUCAUAAUUCUCAAGAAAGUCGAGCUCAACUCGUCCAGUUGACCCCCAACUCACCGAGUUAUCACACGAUCAAGCUUAUGGGGACAAACCCUCACCGACUCGUCAAGUCAGGCCAUGGACUCGGCGAGUCCCUUCGAUCUGAUUUCUCAUUCAGACGAUUUAAGGCAAAUCUAUAACUCAAAACACUAGAUCUACCAUCCUAAGGCUCGAUUGUCACGUAAAGCUUUGAUCUUUACACUCAUGUAUGGUGGUUUUGCGCCAAACUACCAAUACAUGUUCUCAUAAGGUCUUAAACACAAUACUCCUCAUAUGGAUGAAUAAAUUUGGGACUUUUGGGCUCUAGGGACCUCACAAAGUCCAGAUGUGAGGUUUAACCCUCAAGAUAACUUAGUAUUCUCGAAUUCCCAAAUAAUAGGUGAUGAAAACCCUAACUUCUCAACUCAUGAGAUCUAACCAAAUAAAAGGGAAAGGUUCAAGCUUUUUACCUUCCUCUUGAAGCUUUGGACAAAAUGGCCUGAACCCCAACAACUCCUUCUUGUUCCUUGCUGAAUAAACUCCUCUUCCUCCUCAAAGAUGCACUAAAAUCCUUCAAGGCUAGCUUGGAGACUCUCUUAGCUCACUACACUCGGUUAGGGUUUUAAACAGAAGGGUAAGGCAGCUGGUGAGGCAGAAAUGGGGGCAUAAGUUCCCUUAUAUAUGCCGCAAACCUGGCAAAUUAGGGUUUCUCUGCCCAGCACCUACUAGGCGAGUCGGCCCUCUGACUCGUCGAGUCCAUUCAUUUAACCUUCACGGACAACUCGACUCUACUCGACGAGUUGAACUCACAACUCGUCGAGUCACUGCAUAAAUCUCAAAAAUUAAAAACACAAUAAUAUACAUGAAUGUCUGGAUGUUACAUUAUGUGGAAUGCAUUUGUAACAUCCCAAAAAUUCAAAAAUGAAGAUAUUAAAAAAAAUCAGAGUAUAGGUUUUACCAAAAGGUUUUAUUUAUAAUCAUUAGUAAAUAAUAAAAUCAUCCUUUCACAUGAAGUCAACAUAAUCAUAUUAAAAAUGUAGAAACUAAGUUUUGUUUGGAAAAGUAUAACAUAACAUAAAAUAGAUAAACCAGAUGUCAUUCCCCUUCGAAUAUGUCUAUAUAUCCUAGUCAAGCCAGCUCCUUGUCCUUUGAAUCUAAAGGACCUGCAAAUAAAAACAUAAAGCAACAACUAUAGCCCUAAGGUUAAGUGNNNNNNNNNNNNNNNNNNNNNNNNNNNNNNNNNNNNNNNNNNNNNNNNNNNNNNNNNNNNNNNNNUAUAUAUAUAUAUAUAUAUCAUAUGUAUUUCUCAUCAUACACAUAAACAUCACAUAGUAACCAUAUACACAGUAAAUGUAACAUAUGAUAGCACACAUAACCCUAACCCAGUAGAUUCCCUUCCAGAGGUCUAUAUCUACUUGACCUAAUAUUGACCAUUUCCAUCUGAGAGGUCUGUCAUGGUCCUACAUCCUUAUAAUCUAACUAUAUUCCCUCCAAGAGGUCUAUCUCUAUUCAACAUGCACAUAUCACACAAUCCAUACGAUAAGUAAGUUCAUGACAACUUACCUGAAUAUCUGAUGAGGUAUUUCCCACACACUGAGCUAGGUGGCACAAAGCUUCUUCGAGUGUGUGUGUGUGUGUAUAUAUAUAUAUAUCCUUAGUUUUGUAAUUAAGGUAUAAUUCUUACUUCCCUCUUACAUAAGUCAUGGCUUAGUUUUUUCUUCUUUAUUUUUUUAGAACGGUGGUAAGUCAUAGACUAAAGAGUUAUAGCCUUGCUCACUUGCAAGCUGAAGUUUUGGAGUUGCUCAAACUCCAAAAACAUGAAGUUUUUUUUCUUUAAAAAUGUGAAGAACUCAAGAAAUAUUCUAGAUCUAUGCAUAAAAAGGAUAAAACAAGUCCCGAAGAUUUACAAUGCAGAAUCAAAGAGUUGAAGGUGAUUUCUUAUUUUGGAGAUGAAAGAUAAUUACCAAGAUGAGAACUUAUGAACUCCUUAAAUCACCACAACCUUCAAAUUUUUCUAGUAAUGCUCAAGGUGGCUAGCAUUUGGAGAAUUGAAGAUGGAGGCUGAGGUUAUGAGAAAACCUAGUAGUUAAUGAUGCUUAUAUAGAUCCAAAACCUAGAACUUAGGGUUUUAUGCACAAUUCAGUGUCACGCCGCAAUCACUUAUAAUUACCACGUCGUGGGAAAGAAAUUCUCCCAGUCCAAAACAACUUCAAACUUGCAUAGAAUCUUUCAUACCUGAAAUUGGGUGUUAUAGUUCUCCCCUAUUUAUCUGGAUUUCGUCGAUGAAAUUUGUCUUGGUUAUAGAGCUGAAAUAAUUCCUAAAAGCAAAUCCACCAUUCCUUUCCCUAAAACUAUUUACUGAAUUGACGAAACAACAAAGGAGUUCUUGAUACCACUCAGAAACUAAACAUCGUCCCCAUUGAACCUAACCAUAUGAACUGUCACCAAUUUACUCAACGAUAAACUUCAUAAAAAUGAAAAUCCAAGUGUUUGAAACAUAGAAAAUCAAACCGUCAGACCAACUAUCAACUCUCAGAUAUACAUAUCAACUAAUCCAUUAUGAUGAGAAGUACCCUACUACGAAGAAACGAGUAUGCGAAAAUAUUGUUGGAUUAAUGUCUAAGUCCAUAACUAUAUUUGGUAUGUACUUGACCCGACCCGGCAUGGUCCAUUUGGGUUGCACUUCACCGACACAAUUUAUAUGGAUAAUCUUUUGAGAAUAGUAUGUUUAUGAUUAAUAUUAAUAUAUUAUAAGUUCUAAUAUAUUAAUAUGGAAUCAUAUUAUUUAAUUAGUAUUGAUCAAGAAUUAAUUUAUAAUUAAUUAAGUGAUCAAAAGGAACUAAUUAAAUAUGGACUCUUAUAUAUAUGGAAUGGGCCAAGUUCAUUUAGGUUGGGCUAAGCUUUCAUGGAUAGUCCAUGGAGUGUUUAACCCAUGGAUCCUAGGAAAUGAAAGGUCAUGGGUAUUAGGGUUUAACCCUAAUCCUCCAUACUAUAUAAAGAUGUCUUUGGUUGGUGAAAUUGGCACUAAUGUGAUACACUAAGAGGGCUAGCCGAUUUCACUAAGAGAGAACCAAGUAUUCAUAUUCUCUAAAGUCUUCCAAGGUGUCUUGGUGAUUUGUGAUUCCACUUGAGGCUUCCACACUAUUGGGGCUAAGCUCUUAAAGCUUGAAGACAUCAAGCUACAUCAAAAGGUAUGUCUUCUAACUAGUACUUUGUAGAUUAAGAACAUCAUAAUAUGCUAGUUAGGAUUAAAGCCUUGGAAAGUUCUUAUUUGCAUGUAUAAUAGAGAAAACAUAGAUCCAAGGUUUAUAGGGUUGCAUGUACACCAUAGGAGUGUUAGAAUGCUCAAAACCCAACAGUGGUAUCAGAGCCACGGGUUGUUUUCUGUUAUAUUGAUGCAAAUAUUUUAUUUUCAAAGUUGAAAAAAAAAAAAAAAAAAAAAAAUGAAGUUUGUCAAAUUUUAAGAUAAUUACUUGUUCUUGUGAAAAACUAAUUAUUUGUAAAAUUUGAAUAAUUUGCUUUAUGAGUUGAAUUAGGUCAAAUUUAAUAAAAGAUAAAAUAAUAUGAUUAUUUUAUUAGUUUUAAAAGUUUGAUCUAAAGAGUUUUAUUUUUUGAAACCUCCAUAAGUUAUGGAUAUGAAAAGGUUUUAAAAAAAAAAUUGAUUCAAAGUUUUUUUGGAGUUACAAAAUUUGGUGUUAAUGUUUUAAAGGAUUCCAUAACUUAAGAAUAAGUUAUGGAUCACCAAAAGUUUUUUGUGUUACCUUGUUUUAUGAGUGAAUUUAGAUUAAUGAAUAAAAUUAUGUGAUAGUUGGUUUUAAUCCAAAUUAAUCUAAGAAUUGAUUCUAAAAUGUGUUUUUGUAACUUGUCCUCAAGUUAUAUGAAAAGUCACAUUUAAGAAUCAUAAAACUCAUAAAAAUUGGCAAAGGUUACAAAAAUGAAGAGUCUAGUUCUAAUUAAAUGGUUUUAUGACUCCAUAACUUGUCCUCAAGUUAUGGAGGACCAAGAGUCUCUUCAUUUAAUAAAAUAAAAUAAAAUAAAAAAAGGUGUAACCUUAAUUAAUUCCAUAAGUUAUAAAAUAAAGAAAAGUUAAUUCUUUUAUUAGUUUAAAGUCUUCCAUAACUUGUCCUCAAGUUAUGGAACUUGAAGAGUUUUUGGAUUAAAACUACUUUAAACACAUAAGUUAUGGAAUUAAUUAGUUUUGAAUAGUUUCAAAACUUGCCCUCAAGUUUUGGAAUUUGUAAAGUUUUCACUUAUGAAUACUUUAAUUCCAAGUUAGCCCUUAGAAUUUUAAAAGUUAAAAUUCAACCCUUAUACUUUAUAAUAUUAUAAGUUAAUAAUAUAUAUAUGUAUAAGAGUAAAGUCAGUCUUACCGCUAGUACGCCUCAUUCACGAAGCCGGUCUAUAAGGUGGGUAUAAGGUUGUUGCCUAUAAAAUGGCAACUUAAUGGGUGUCCACUCUCACCCACCGCUUGCUUGACUGGUGGAGGGUCGUUAGCCGAACGGGUUUGACAGGACUAGAAUUCUCCCUUCAUUAAAAGUAUUAAUGAUAAUACUAAGUAACUAAACUCUUAAUAAUACCCAAUCUUAGUUACUUAGGAAAAAUGUGAAUAAGGUGCUAAUCCAUGAAAUUACACUUUACACUUUGUCUAAGUCGUUAGUGGAGCGUGUGUGGUUAACCGGCACACUAACUUGGACUUAACAAGGUAGGUAAAGGGUGACUUAAUAUUUAUCAUAGUAUCGAUGGAGCGUGUGUGGUUAACCGGCACAUCGAUUGAGGGGUAAUUUAUUAAGGGUACCAAGUGAUUUGCAUGGUUACUUCACACCUUGUUUUGUGAUCCUCGGCAUCCCAGUCACAAAACCUGAAGGGCACACUCGAGAUUGAAACAUGCCUUUGAAAAGUUCAAUGAAUCUCAAAGAUCUAGGAGUUUCAAAACCAAUUAAAACCUAAUAAUACAUUUCGUUUAUCUUGGUGGAAAUUGGUGAAUCGUCAUUCACCUACCUUCAAAUAUUUUAUAGCUUGGAUUACGGCAUACCUCUUCUAAGUUAUAAAAUAGUUUGUUGGGUCCUAGCCUUAAUAUUUCAUAUUGGGUGUCAUAUUAAGGACUUUAAAUCAACUAUCUUGAAUAUCUCCCAAAAGAUGUCUGGUUUAGACACCUAUGAUCUUCCCAAAUCUCUUGAAACAAGGUUUCCUAAUGAAGAUGAUGUCCCAUGGAUAUCAUACUUCUUCACCUCUUCAAAUUAUUCUCCCUAACCCACAAGUUCUUGAAAAGUUUAAGGUCACUCAGGCCCUAUUGGCAAGGCAAGGUCUAGGUGUGGUCACAUCUUGGAGAUGUAGUCACAUAUUGACAAGCCGGGAGAGUUGGGUGUCAAAGUCUUGAGAAAGUUGGUGGUUCAACCACUUUCUAAGUCACAUAGUGAGUUCCUUUGGGACACCUAUGAAACAGACUAUGACAAGACCCUUAAUGAUCUUAUCUAUUUGCUAAGAUCAACUUCCUAAAACUUUAUGGACAUUGACAAUGAUGACAUUGGAUAUCCAGUAAAGCAUUCUCUUCCCAAUGGAAAGGGAUCGGCUAUAGUCAACUCGGUUGACCAAAUGGUAAAGAGAAAAGCUAAGUCUGUGAUAGUCCUGUGUACCAUUAUCAAAGGGUCCAUAUGUUUGUAUUGCCAAAGAAAGGGCAUUGGUUGCGAAGCUGCCAAAUUUACCUAAGGAUGUUAAAGUCAAUAAGUUUGACUCUACUUCAGGUAAAAUCCACUAUCUAACUCUGUUAAGUUUCUAUUCUGAGAUUCUUGAUACAUGAUGUGACCGGGUCGCAUGGUGAUGGUUUAAGAAUCAAAGGAAAGUGAAGAAACUUAAAGGAAGAAUAUGCUGAAUCUGAUCGCAUAGAUGGAUUUCUAUCGCAUAGUUUGAAAAAUCGGAUUCUUGAGCUACUUCUUAGGAGUUAUGAGAUAUUGCUUAGGAAUAGAUAACAACAAGUUUUCAUAUGGAUUGUAAGGAUAGUUUUUCCGCAAAGUUUUAAAAUAAAAGGAAAUUUUUGAUUUUAUUUAUUUUAAAAUAUCCUUACAAUGGCAUCUGUGGAAAUUUUUGUUGCUUAUAAGAUUCCAUUAGUAGCAAGAGUGGAAGUAUGAAAUUGAUUCUUUCAUUUGUGGUAAUGUCUAAAUUUACCAAAUAAGGAAAGAUUCUCAUCACCCAAGUUUCAAUUGGACCGGAACUUGGAAUCAUGCAAGUUGUAUAGCAUGAUGAAUGAGAACUUUCAAGUUUUGGAAAAUUAAGACUAAUUACUUGUUCACAUGGAUGUGUGAGUCAAGUAAAGGACUUAGGGAUCGAGUACACAUUCUUGUGCACUGAUUAAGUCCACCACUAAAGAUCGAUAAGAAGAAUCAAAUAAGGCAGAAGGAUAAAAGUUUCUCAAAUCUGAAAAGAUGGGAGAGUACUUUAGUAUCAGUUUUGUGAUCAUCUUAAUGAUUAAGAAACCAUAUCAAAAUUAGUUCUCUAAGGAAAUCUUAGUGCAUUCUUAUGACUAAGAAGAGGAACUUGAAUUGUUGAAAUGGUUAAAUCAAGAAGAUGAGUCAUACUUCGUUCCAAUACAAGUCUUAGAGUCAUACUCCAAGAUUGUCAUUUGAGUGACAUGUCUUAAAGAAGGUUUAAAACACUUGUCAAAUGUAAGAGUAAAAGUUUUCUACUCUUGUACAUUUGAAAUUGGUAAGUUGUGAUGUUUUGGAUAAAACAAAGACCAACUUAGGCCAAUUGGGUAAAGUGUUUUUCUUGAUUAGAAUCCGCACUAUCUCUUGGAUGUUUGACAAGGGAGUCUUAUAUGUCAAGAGGACAGUGGGAGUCUUAAAGGUCUUGAAAGUCUCAAGAAAUAAUCAAGAAUAAAACCUAAAGUUCUUCACUAGCACACGACUUGAGGUUCAUAACCUAUCGUGUUGACAUAUUCUGUGCCCAUUCC
rnacentral:lncRNA from 1 species